GCAACAAAACUGAAUUCUGAUUUUUAUAGUAUAAAGAUUUUAAAAUUAUUAUUUGAAUAGUUUUUAUCAUUCAUACAAUAUUUGUGUAUAUUUUAUAUCUUAUUUAUGUUAUUAAAAUCUUGUUUAGUAAUUAUUUUUUAAAAUAAUUUUUUGUUUGAGAAAAUAGAAAGUCGUCUUUCAUUCUUAAAAAUAAAAAAUUAACUUUUUUUCUUAGGUUAAAAAAGGAAUUUUGAGAAAAUAUGUUUUAGUUUUUAAGAAUAAUUUUUACUUACUUUUUGAUUAUUUUUUUAAAAAAAUAAUUAUACAAAUGUAAAAAAUGAUUAAAAAUAAAAUAUUACACAUAAAAAUUAUUUUUUAAAAAUACUCAAAAACAUAUUUCAAGUUCUCAAAUAAUAAAUGAAAAUAGUUUUUCAAAAUAGUAUUUAAAAAUAAUUAAUAAAUGUGAACUAAUAUAUUUUAUUUUUAAAAAUACAAAAUAAAAUAGUAUCCAAAUAAUAUCUUAAUUUUUUAAAUAAAAAUUAAAAAUAAUAAAAAAAUGGUUGGAGAAGAAGGUGGGAAUAAUAUUAAUAGGAGAGAAAAGGGUCCACCUCCCUAAUUUUGGGCUUCUUCUCGAGCACCGAGCCCUCUCUUUCUCUCUCCUCUUUAUUUAUUGAUUAAUUAAAAUAUUAAUUUUUAUUUAAUAAGUUGGACAACAAAAAGUUAGACAAAUUAGAUUUCUUCUCACUGUCACGUGCAUUCACUUUCUCUCCUCUCCUCCCAUAUCUUUAUAUUUAUAUAAUUAAAUAUAAAUAAAUAAAUAAUCACCGACCAGUCACCACUUUUUCUCUCCACGUCACCUCAAUCUCUAUCCACCAUUUCUCCAUUUCAUUUUUCCACCUUUCUUCUCUCUUCAUUUACGUUUUUAGCACGUGACUUUGAAAUUAAAUUUCCAUUUUUCUUCUUUUACUUUUUCAGUUUUAUAUUAUUAUUAUUAUUAUUAUUUAAUAAAUAUAAAAAAUUACACACAUAACCGAAUUUGCAUAUUAAUUAUAAUGUUAUUAUUAUAUACUUACAAUAAUGUUUAUAACACGAGGAAAUAAGGCUUCGAAUUGCUUUUUGAAAUGUCCAAAAUCGAAAUAUGUUGUUUCUUUGAUAAAUUUUCUAUUCUAAGUAGUGGAUGAAACUACAAAAAUUUAAGAACCAUUAUAUUUUAUCGCACAAAUAUCUUAAAUUUUUAACAUUUUUUUACAUAAAGAAAAAAAUCAGAUGAAAUUCAAGAGAGAAAGCUCUUUUAUAGAAGUGUUUUUUUUUUUUUUUUUCAGGCUUUUUUCUUUUAGAAAGUAAGAGAAAGAGUAAGAUUUAUAUAUAUAUAUCACAUAAAAAUAGUUUAAAUUAUUGUCCUUACAUUUCUCAUUUAUUAUAUUAAUAACUACAAACAAUAUUAUAAUAUUGAUAUAAAUAAUUGUUAAAAAAAUAAAAUUAAGUCAUAUCAUAAUUCAUCAUACUUAUAUUAUUAAUAUUUAUAUAUAUAAUUAAAUAUUAUAUUAAAUUUAUAUAUUUUUAAAGUUGUUUUUUUAAUAACAAUUUUAGUCUUUUAAUUAAAGUUUUUUACCUUACAAAAUAAUAUUAAUUAACUAUUGUUUUAUUCCAUGUCAGAUAAGAGAUUAGAGCAUUAAAUGUAUGAAAGGAUAAUUUAGGCAAGUUAAAUAUAAGCCAUUUUAAUUUUUAUUUCUAUUUUUUAUCUGAAAUCUUACUAGGUGGAGAAGGUGAAAUAUGUUUUUGAUAUAAUUUAUUUUUAAUCAAGUCUUACUUGCAAAUAUGAAAUUUUAUUUUUGUUUUUAAUUUAGAUAAAUUCAAACAUAUUAAUUAAGCAGUAAUUCAAAACAAAAAAAUGUUGUAUUAACCAAAAUAAAUAGGAAUGACAAUGAUGUGUGUUUUUUUUAUACUCAUCCCAUCCCUAAUAGGACGAAUUAGAAAUUUAAAAAACCAGUCACACGAGAUGGGUUCGAGACAGAUUUGGAUAACGUCUUAUCCUACCCCAUCCCAUCAGAUUAAAUAAAAAAUUAAUUUAAUUUAAAUUUUAUUUUCCAAUUAACCAAAAAUAUAAAUGUGUUUGACAUGUAGAUCUAUGGAGGUAGAAUUUUCAAAGUUAAUUAAAUAUGAAAGAAAAUAAAGUCGAGCCAUGUGCAAGCACAUGUAACCUUAUUGCAAGAUUCACUAGCCAGCUCAAAAGAUGGUGGGAUAAUGUUCUCACUGAAGAAGAAAAAAUUUAUAUUCAAACCAAUAUAGAUGAAAGAGGAAAUCAAAAUUGGGUUCAUACCUUGAUAUUUCCCAUAACAAAACACUUGGAGACCCAAUUGCCUUCCAAGCCUGUACCUCAUAAAUGCUUCAAAAUAUUAGAUGUAGAAAACUUGGAGACUAUAGAUGGUAUAAGGAUGUAUACUUUUCUAAAGACUACACAAGACCAGAUGCUAAUAAACCCUAUUAGAAAGAAAGAUUCCUUCAUGGGUUACCUAAAUCCUUAAGUCAAAGAGUCCAACUUAGAAUCAAAGAGAAACAUAAUGGUGUUAUACCCUAUGAUUCUUGAACCUAUGGCCAAUUAAGUAAUUUCAUAAAUCAAGAAGCAUCAAAUCUUUGUUCAUUGGUCAAAGUUAAUGCUACCAUAAAAAAGGAUCUUAUAACCUCAAAAAGAGAAUUAGGAUCGUUCUGUGCCCAAUAUGGUUAUGAGAAAAUUCUUCCUUCCUCAGCUAAACAAGAAAGAUAUUACAGAUCCAAUAGGAAAGAUCAAAUAAAAAAUAUUCAAAUUUCAAAGAAGAGCCCUAUUAUAGGAAGUCAAAACAUAAAAACAUUCAAAUAAAACACAUCAUAAUUCUUUUUUUAAAGAAAUUUGAUAAAAAAGAAAUAAUAUGUUUCAAAUGUGGCAAAAAGGGACACAUAGCUCCAAAUUGUAGAGUCAAAUAAAUAAUUGCAAACCUAGAUGUAGGAAAAACAUCUAAAAUAAUAAAUGAUUAACUUAAUCAAAACAAAGUCAUAGUCAAAGUCAUCCAACCAAACCUCUGUAGAAACAUCUGAUGAAAAUCAACUUCUUAAGAUGAUUAUUUGAAUGAAUCAAAUGAAUCUUCCUCACAGUCAUCUUGUGACUAUGUAGAAAACCAUCUUUGUAAUAUCAAAUAGGUAAAUGUAAUAAAAAGUGAACAAAACUUCCUAAUGGAAUUAAUUUAUAAAAUUCCAUAUCAAAAUAUUCAAAGAGAAUACUUCGAAAAAUAUUUAGAAAUCCAAAAACAAAAUAGUGAAAAACAAGUAAAAAAUACAAAUCAAUACAGUUUAAAAACUGUAUUAGAUCAAUUUUCUAUACCAAAACCAAUAGGAAUUCAAAACCUUCGAAAUGAAAUAAGUAGAAUAAAACUUCAAAUUAAUACCAUGCUAAUUCAAAAUGAAGAAAUAGAAACAAUACUUCAAAUUCUAGAAAAUGUAAAAAUCCAACACAUAGAAAAUAAUCAUAAUAAACAAUUAGAAGAAGGAGAAUCUUUUCAAUUGUUUGUAAAUACUGUAACCAAAAUGUUAACUCGCAAAUGACACAUCAAAGUUAAACUUUUUAUAAAACUUGGCUUUUGCAAAGAAUUUUUAGCAUUAGUUGAUUCUGGUGCUAAUACAUAUUGUGUACAAGAAAUAUUAAUUACAACUGUAUACUUUGAAAAAACCUAUCAAGGGGCUAUGAGUGCAAACUCAAAAUCCUUGGCAAUAGAUUUUAAAAUUUUAAAUGUACAUAUUUGUAAUCAAAAUAUUUGUUACAAGACUUCUCUUUUACUUGUUAGAGACACGAAUAAGAGAUAAUCUAAGGAACACCAUUCCUUGCUCUACUUUAACCUUUUAAAGUAGAUGAUGAAGGAAUUAAAACUGUUCAUAGAGGACAAAAUAUUUGUUUCAAAUUUAUUAGUUCUUUAAAAAUCAAAGAAUUAAAUAUGUUUCAAGAUAAUGAAGUAAACCUAAUUCAAAAGAAAAAACAACAUAUCAAAUUCAUAAGUAAAGAAAUAUAUUAUAAAAUAAUGGAAGUAAAUCUAUUACAAAAAGAAAUUCAAACAAGAAUAGAAAAAAUUAAAAAUCAAAUUAAAACAUAUUUAUGUUCUUUUAUUCCCAAUGCUUUUUGGAAUAGAAAGAAACAUAAGGUUCCUUAUACUAUGUUGAUGGAUUCGAUGAUAAUCAAAUUCCUACUAAAACAAGACCUAUUCAAAUGAAUGUUCAAUUACUUGAUGAUAAUCAAAUUCUUACUAAAACAAGAUCUAUUCAAAUGAAUGUUCAAUUACUUGAGUAUUGUAAAAAGAAAUCAAGGAUCUUUGGAUAAAGUCUUUUACCUUACAAAAUACUAUUAAUUAACUAUUGUCUUCUUCCAUGUCAUAUGAGAGAUUAGGGCAUUAAAUGUAUGAAAAGACAAUUUAGAGAAGCUAAAUAUGAGCCUUUUUAACUUUUAUUUCUAUUUUUUUAUCUGAAAUAUUACUAGGUGGAAUAUGUUUUUGAUAUCAUUUAUUUUUAAUCAAUUCUUAUUUUCAAAUAUGAAUUUUAUUUUUGUUUUUAAUUUCAGAUAAAUUCAAACAUAUUAAUUAAGUAGAAAUUCAAAACAAAAAAUGUUGUACUAAUUGAAAUAAAUAAGGAUGACAAUGAAAUGUGUUUUUUUUUUUAUACCCAUUAUGUCUCGUCCCAUCUCUAAUAGGACGAAUUAAAAAUUUAAAAAUCCAUCCAUGGUAGGUUUGAGAUUUCUUUUUGAAAACACAAGAUGAGUUUGAGACGGAUUUGGGUAAAGUCUUAUCCCACCCCAUCCCAUCGGAUUAAAUAUAAAAUUAAUUUUAUCUAAAUUUUAUUUUCCAAUUAACCAAAAAUAUAAAUGUGUUUGACAAGUAGGUCUAUGGAGGUAGAAUUUUCAAAGUUAAUUAAAUAUGAAAGAAAAUAAAGUUGAGCCAUGUGCAAGCACAUGCAAAUUAGACAAACAUUUGACUUUAAGAAUUUUGUCUCUUCAUAAAAUGAUUGGACAUUUUUCUUUCUGUCCAAACAUUAAAUUAAAAUAAAUAUUAAAUGUAUGAAUUAAAAGAAAUUUCCUCAUGGACUUCAAUUAUACCUUUAUUAUUUUAUUGUAUUUAAUCUUAUCGUUUAGGCCAAUGCAUGGACUUCAAUUACAUACAUAUUUUCCACAUUUCAUAGUUUGGUUUAAAUAAUUAUCACAAAGUUUUCAAUGAAAAAUUAUGGGAAAAUUUAAAGAAAAUAAAAAAUAGAUUUAAAAUUAAUAAAUUAUUUUUAUAUAUUAUUUGAAACUCAUUUUCCUUAUUUCAACUCUUUAAUGUAAAAGUUAAAUAAUUUGAAACGUAUAUAUUUUUAUUUUAUUUUAAUUAUAUUUGAUUUUUUAAAAAUAAUUUUGAAAGGAUAGCCAAUAUGAGAGAAUAAUUUUCUUAUAUGUAAAAAUAUUAUAUAAUCAUGGAAUAUAUGUAAAUUCACAAUAAAAAUUAUCUUAUAUUAAAAUAUCCACGCAGUUCAACUUUUAUUGGUUAAGGGACAAAAAAAACCAAAAAAAUGGAACCAAUUAAGUUGGUUUUCACAAUUCUAAAACCUAAUUGACCUUUGGAUUGGUCUCAUCGAGACUCCUAGAACUAGUUAUUAAGGAUCUAAAUAUGUUUUUAAAAAAUAAUUUUUAAAACGAUUUUAACUUUUGAUGCUUUUUAAAAUAAAAGUUUAUUUUAAAACUUCAAAUAUUUUUCAACCCAUUUUUUAUAUUUUAAAGAUAUUUAUUAAAAAGAACUUUUAUGUAUGAUGUUUUAUUUUUAAUCAUUUUCUAUAUUUAUAUAAGUAUUUUCUAAACAACCUUAAUUUUUUAAGUGAAACCAAUUAAAAAUAAGUAUCCAUACUAAUGUUUUGUUAAUUUCGAUUUUGAUAAUUACAAAAUAAGAUUUGAAACUAAUUAUUUUUAUUCUAAGUAUGAUUAAAUAAAAAGAUUUCCAAAGAAACAAUUAGGAUGACAUACUAACAUAAAAGAAAAUCAAGAAGAAGAAUGUCUCAAAGAGGCAAUAUUCCAAGACAAUUUUUUUAUGAUUCUUUAUAAGAUUGUUGGUGUACUAGGUUUUAUAUCUAAUCAUAAUUUUUUAGGCAAUUAAAUUCUUCCAAAUGUCUAAUCAAUUUUAUUUUAAUUUUUUUAUAAGUUAGAUGAAAUUUUGAUUUGAGGAAAAACCUAAGUUUUAACUAGUUACAAUCAUUUAAAAAGGUUUUACAAAGAUUAAGGAAUUAAUAAUCAUUGUUCCCCUUUCAUAAUUUGGUCUUUCUACUCAACCAAUUGAGACUAUUUGCUCAAUUGAUUGAGGAUCAAUUGAAUUCAUGAUUGAUCGGUUGAGCUCCUAUAACUUAACAAUUAUUUUCUCCACCUUCUAUCAUUUGAUGACUAGUAGUUAGUUUGACUAGUUGGUCGAGCCAUUGAUCCAAAAUUGUACGUAACAACUAGUUUGAGUAUCCAACUCCUAUUUGAAGACUACAAGCUUAUUGUUUUGCAAAGAAAAAUAAUUUAAAUCAUUUUUUAAUAUUGUUUAAACCUUUGGGACGUGUUUUUCAAAGGCAUUUACUUUUAAACUUGCAUUUCAUCUUAAUAAACCAUUUGAUCCUAGUUUCUAUGCAUUUCAUUAUGUCAAAUUGUAAAACAAGUUCUUAAAAAUAUUAACUUCAAUAAAAAAAAAUUAUCAACCAUAUUUUUGAAUCUAAAAAAUAAAUUUCAUUUUUAAGAAUAAAAUAUUAUUUUUAAAAGGACUUCCCAAAUAAAGUUUUGGCCAAAAAUAGUUAUUUUAUGGAAAAAAAUUCGAAUUUAAUCACAUUGUCAAACUUAUAUUUAAAACAUUAAAAAGUCUUUUUUAUUAUUAUAUAGGAACCUUAUCAUUAUUAUUUUUUAAAAAUUUUAGUUAAGCCUCAAUUAUCCAUUAAGAUUUCAAUUAAAAAAUAAAAUUUCCCUAAUUACAAACUUUAUUUUUUAACCUAAAACCUCAAUUAUUAAUUGAGGUUUUAGUUCAGAAAUAAAGUUUUAAUUGUUAAAUCAAACUUUACUUUUAAAUUAAGAUAAUUAUAAUUUCAUUUUUGAACUGAAAUUUUAAUAGUCAAUUAAGACUUCAUUUUUUCAUUAAAAUCACUUGACAUUUACUUAUAUGAUAGAAAAAAGACGACAUUGAAUAUAAAUUUUAAAAGAUAUUUAAAACUUGAUCAUCCUGACUUUUUCAACCCAAAGUCUUGGAGCUUUAUUUUUCACUUUUAUUACGUUCUAAUAAUGAAAAUCAAAAGAUUGUAUCUUCUCUAAUCACCCUUAAAUCAUCAAUUAUUAUUUGUCACAACAUUGUCAUGAAAAAAUAAUAAUAAAGCAAACUAAUGGAUCCAAAAAGGAAAACUUUAAAGAAAAUACCUACCAAGCAAACCCAAAAAUAAAAAAAAAAUUGAUAUUUAUCCUCCUUGUGUGGAGGGGAGAGGAAGACGGAAGUCUAAAUGUUUACGCCUCUAUCAUGGGCCCUACAAUUUAUUACACCGAGUGUUUUUAAUUAAUUUUACAAACAAAAAAGAAAUCACGAAUCAAAAAUAAAAAUAAAAAUUAAUACAAUAAAAUAAAAAGGUUUUUUUUUUCUAUAUGGCAUAUUAAGUACACGUGUCUACAUAUUUGGAGAGGUUCCAUUGCAAUCUAAGGACCUUACUGACUUAAUUAUGAAAAUGACCCAUCCAUUUGUCCUUGUAGUGGCUCUGCCCAUGCCUCCUGCCUGCCUCUUUCACUCAUCAUGCUUCAAUUAUAUAUUUAUAUUAUUAUAAUUAUUACCUCCCAAUAAUAUUUUAAUUAUACUAAUAAUAAUAUUACCCACCAUGCUGACAUGCUGUCAUGCCAUGUCAAAUAAUUCGAAUGGUCUCUCUACUUUUUAAUAUUGGAUAGAGUAGAGUCAAGGGAGUAGUAUUCUUAGGUCUAAAUUUCUGGGGUUUAAGAUUGAAAUGUUGAUUGGACGUGACAGAAGAAAAGGAAACCCAACCUGAAAGGUAUAUAGUUUGAAUGGAAUUUAUGAAGUGGUAAUAAAAAAGGGGAGACUACCCAUUCUCCAAGGAGAAGAAGCCCAUCUAAAUCUUGUAUGGAAUUUUGGACACUUUGUUUGUGUAGCCCAUUAUGAAAUGUCUCGUUUUGGCUGCUUCCUCUUUUUUUUUUUUUUUUAAAUAAAAAAUAUUAAAAAAAGAGAAAGAAGAAAAUAGGAGGGAAUAGUGGAAAGUAAACGGAGUGAGAAAGGGAGAGGAGAGUGGGGGGAGAGAAACAGAAACACAUGGGCACUUUAAAGAGAAAAAAGAAAGCGGCGGUCUCAGAAGGCAAAGGACUUUUCUGUCUCUCUGCUUCCUCAUUAUUAUUUAUUGUUAUGUUAACUUAUUGUCCUCUCACUCACUCACAGAGAGAGAGAGAGAGAGGUGACUCUUUAUUUAUUUCUUCUUUUGGUGGUCUGAGUGGUGAGCUCAGCUGGAGCCUGGAGGUGACAUGCAGGUGAGUGAGAGUAGGUGGUAGAGUAGGAGUAGGAGUAGGAGUAGAAGAAAGAGAGAGAGAGAGAGUGAGUCAGGAAGCGAGGGAGCAUGUCGAGGUGCAUCGAGCCCUGUGAAGAUGACCACCGGCUCAAUAAAACCCGCGAUCUCCUUCCCCGUACUUUUUGUUGCUUUCUAUACGACAGCCGCUUCGCCUCUCCCACGCUCCUUUCCCUCCCUCGCGCUCUCGUCUCACUUCUCCUCCCCUCCUUUCACCCGUCUUAUUAUUAUAAUAGUUGGAGAGUGAAGUGGGGCGCGUGGGGAAGGCAUGUGCAGUGGGAGUACAGGUGUCAAGCUGCGUAUGGCGGUGCUUGUCUUAUGGAGGUGUGCCCUGUCACGGACGGUCCUUCCAGAUCUGGGAAUUUCGCUUUUUCCCAAUCGUGUAUUCCUUCCUCUUCUUCCCUACAUUCUCCUCAAUUUCCUCACCGUUGGAUCCCACUUCCUCCAGCCUUCUUUUUUGUUUUUGUAUUUUUUCAAAAAAAAAAAGAAAAGAAAACUUUUUUAAACAUCUCACCUCUUUAUCUUAUUAUCAAAACGUUUAGUUAUGUUUGGUUGCAAAAAAAAUAUAAAAAAAUGAUUUUCUCUUUGUUUGAUUUUAUUAUGAAAAAUAUGAAAAAAAAUAUUUUAAAAUUCAUAUAUUUUAAAAUAAUUUAAUUUUUUAUAUAACGAAUAAAAAAAUAAAAUAAAAAUUUAAAUGCUAGAUGCCAGAUUGGGCCUGUUAAGGAUUGGGCUGUGUUUUGGAAACUUUUUGAUUCAAUCUAGGCCCAAUUAAAUCUGGACCGGACCAUUUUCCAACCCUAGUGGCAUGAAUGUGCAAUUAUAUUCUAAUCCUUGCCAUGGGUUUCAAAAGUGUUGGGAUGGUGUCCUAAUCUUUGUGGGCUUUCAAUCAUAUAUAAACCCCAACUGGUUGGAUUUGAUCAUUCAAGAUAGUGGGCCCAAUGGGAUCUGCUUUGGGCCCCCAAUAAGCUAAAUCUGGGCCUCAAUAAUCCGAAAAAAUGGCCCAUGAUAUUUGGGGCUUCAUGAAACUCUUGGCUUAUUUGCUCAUUCAUUAACGGAUUAUUAUUAUUAUUAUUUUAAUAUAAGUGAUAGUUUAAUAUAACAUAACACAAACAAUUUAGUUGGAGGAUUUACUAAUGACACAAUCCUAACUUAUACCAAAGGCAUUAAAGCGAGACUUAAAAGUAACGUAACUUCUUGUUGAAUCACAUUCAUACAUUUUAAGACUGUGUUUCAUUCUCGAAAAAUAUUAAGGAUAUAUAUAAAAAAAAUGUUAAGGAAAAUGAUUUUCUCAUAUUUAGUUUUAUCGUAGAAAAUAUUAAAAAAAAAAUCAAAUAUAUUUAAAAUUAAUAAGAUACUUAAGAAUUUUAAAAUUAUUUUAAUCUUUAUAUAAAAUAUCUAAAAUAAAUUUGAAUUGACAUAUAAAUUUUUUUUCUAUGUAUUUUCACUCAAAUUUUCUAGGAACCAAACACAGUCGAAGUGUUUAUAUGUAUAUAUAUAUAACCUUCAUCUAAUAAGAUUGAAAAAGAAAAUUUAAUUGCACUAUUCUCUGUCUUAAGAAAUACUCUCAAAUUUACAUAAUUAAAGUGCUUUUGGUGCACUCAAACAUAAUCUAUUGUUCUUUAUCAGUUGGAAUUUUAUGUUUGUGGGAUUUAGAAAGGCAUGUCAAAGAACAGCUUACAAUGAAGGUGAUAAAAAAGGGAGAUCAUGUCUUAUGAGGAAGUAUUCAAUGUCUUCCUAAGACUGUUGAUACAUGUUUCCCAUUCUUUGCCUGUGAUGACUUUUGAGCCAAGGAUGGACUUUGAAAAUAAUCCAGUACUAUGACCUUGGAGUUUAAAUUGGACCUCUAGCUUCAAGCCCCCCUCCCUCAUGGAGGUGGAAACUCCUCCAUUACAGUGAGACAAGGUUGUUCCCAUCGGUCAUCGGAGAGAUAGCAAAGAAAUAUAUGGUAGGUACUAUGUGCUGCAACAGGAGUGAUUAUUCUACCUUCUUUAAGCCCUACUAUUGCAUGCAUAAUUGUUUUUCUGAAUAGAUGGAGUAUAAUACUUCCACAAAUCAGCUGACACUAGCCAUGCAUUUUCCUAGUAGAACAGCCACACCCACUAAAGGAAGGCGAAGAGAUGCGUGGUCGGCCAAGGAUUAAAUAGCAAACACUGUAGGAGUGCAAUUGCUGGAGUAAUGGCAACAGCUACUGGGGGAUAAGGUCAUGAGAGCACAUGAAUAACACAAGCCAUUAAUUUUAGCAGCAGAAGAUUCUGAUUCAAUCAUGAGGCUCUGAGUAGCCUUCUUCACAUGCAAGUUCACAUCUAAGGAAACAUUUUCUACAAUAUAUAAUAAUGCCUGAAUGAUCCAAAACCCUAACAAGAAGAUCAGUCUAGCUAAUUUAAUUAUUUCUACCCUAUUUUAUGUUCAUACAUUAUCCAUUAAGGUAUAUAUAUAUAUACUUUAAACCAACAUCUAAAUUAAUCUACUCCGAAAAUUUCCCUUAAAAGAGCUAUUGGAAAGUGUUCGAAAUUUCUAAUUAAUAUCCACCCUGUUAUAGUCUUUACGAGCUCAUCUCUAUCUUAUGACCUUUUCCUCACAUGACUUAUAAUAUUUAUGGAGAUGUGAGGAAGAAUGGGAAAUACCUAGUAGAGCAAGGGAUUCAUGGUUCAGGGUGUGGAUACAAGGAAUGAAAAAAUAUGUGAUGUUUCAUAAACCAAUGGUCAUAUCUAGUUCUCUCUUCUAUAAUAUUUUCUAUGGUAUAGUGAAAAGAUUUUAUCUCAUCUGUGAUAUGUGGAUAUCGACAUGGUUAGCCGAGCCAUGUUAAAACCUCAUAUACUAUUGUAUGAUUGUUUUAUCUUUAUAUUUUUGAACUAACAUAUUUGCAUUAAAGCUUCUGUCAAUUCAACAAAUUGAUAUAACAUGUUUGCAUUAAAGUUUCUGUCAAUUCAACAAAUUGAUGCAAGAGCUUCUGCAUACUCAACAAAAGCCUUACAAGUCUAGUUUUGGAUUGCAAAAAUAAAGGUGAAAGCUCAAUGAACUAGGGUUCUUAUGAUCAAUCUGUGCUUGAUUUGCGUACGUUAUGUUUUAGAAGCCCUAGCUUUGAGUCCCUAAUCCUCUUGUUGAAGACACUAAGGUGAUGUUUUUUUUUUUUGGCUUUUUGCUAAAAACGAUUUGUUUACAGAAUUUAGAUUAUUUGUUUUUCUACUUUUUCAUAACUUAUUAUAAACUUUUUACUAAAUAGAAAAAACCAAAAUAUAUAGCUUUUUAUAAAUAGAAAAAAUAACAUAUUAAUUUUUCUUUACUUUUUAAUACUUAAUAGAAAUAAAAUACUACAAAAAUAAACAACCUAAUAUUUAACACUAUUAAACAUUAAGGUUUUAUUUAGAAUUAAGUAAAAAAACAAACACUAUCUAAACCUAAAUAUGUAAAGAAUUGAAAUUUUCUCAAAUUUGAUUUAGAAUAUUCUUUCAAAGGAGUUCCAAGAUACAAAGAUGAAUCUUCUUGACUAUUCCCUUAUGGUUUUCCAAAAUCAUGGGGAGGAAGUUGGGAAAUACAAAUUUAAUUCUUUCAUUUCUUUUCUUUUAAUCAUCUAUCAUUUUUUUGCAGCAAAAAUUGAUUAAUUUAGAAGGAAACCAUUCAAGAUUCUGAUACAAAAUGGAAGACAGGAACAUUAAUAUAACCAAAAUUCAUCUUCAUCAAACAAAAGAAGGAUCUUUCAAUAACCCUAAAGAAACCAAAAGUUUGUACAAAUUUAUGAUUAAACCAAAUUGAUUACAAGCAUACAUCUACAGACUACCCAUCCAUAAUUCUGUCUUCUUCCACUAUUAAUCCAAAUUCUACUCCAAACAAACAAAAAAGUAUACAAUUAAUUUUGUUUAGGCUUUCUCCUCUUUCUCUCUCCAUUCCAACCCUAUGAAUCUGCAGGGUGAAUACCUAAGCUUAUACUCAGAAAUUGUCUCAAGUUUAGGUGACCAUACUUGCCCUUUAGACCCAACCAAUUGUUCAUAGUGCUUCUGCAACUCUGGGGUGCUGCAUAGGAAACUAUUGUUAGGGCUGCUACAUCCAUCUUCCUUACCAGUAGUGAUCAGCUUUGUUAUAAACUCCGGCAUGACCUUAAUCAUAACUCGCCCAUUUGAACCCUUUAUGUACUCGAGCGGGCACUCGCUGAACUUGAUGGGAGACGGUUUAGGGCUCGAGGUGAAGGCCGAAAGCGAAGAAGCGGAGAGCACAUUGCAUGCAAAGAGAUCGAUUGGAAGGACAAAGUAGGUUUGUGCAGGGAUGAGCUCAUCAUCAAUGGCUAGAGCUGGAACCACCCGGCCGAUGAAGAAUGAGUCUGCAUGGCACACCAUUCUGUCCGGGAACUCGAACAUGAUCUCUCCGGCGAGGUGCUUUCCGGUGAGGAUCCUUGUGGUGCCUUCCCAGAAGACCAACUUCACGGAUGACUUGGAGCUUUGUUUGAAACAUGGAGAAACAGCAUUGCCCAUGAUAUUAAGGUGAUAUCAGAUCGAUGAUGAACAGAAAGGUAGGAGAUGGUGAUAAAUAUUGAAUUCGGAUGUUGGGUCUGGAAGAGAAAGGACAUAUAUAGAAAUUGAGGAAGAGAUUGACUUGGGACGAAGUCUAGGGUGUUUGUUGCUUGUAGUUUUGGGGCGGUCGGUGGUCAGCCAUGUCGGCUUUGAACAUCUCCUAAUGAGUGCUGUCUCUAUUAAACUCACCUUAGACUUUGUUAUUCAUUCAUCAUUUAUAUGUCUGUUCUUUUCUUCCCAAAGUCACCUUUCAAGAUAUGUCGAUUCUUGUAUUUUACCAUAAAUUAAUUAUUUUUAUUAUUAUUAUUAUUAUUACAUUAAAUUCUCUUCUCUUUAAAUUCAACACACAUUUUAAACAUUAUGGUGUGAUCAUGCAUGGAAUCAAGUUUUAAUUUGCUCUAUUAAAUUGCAAAAGUUCUUUCACGUACAUUUAAGGCCUAUUUAGAUUGGUAUAGGAGAUGUGAAUAUUAUUGGGUAUGUAGUGUUGUUAAAAAACUCAUAAUUUGUGUAUGGUCAACUUUGUUUUUCAAAAAUUAUAAUUUUAGGGUUUCUUUCAUAACCAUUUCUAACAAAGGCUUCCCUACUUUAGAAUAAAAAAAACAAUUUUUGAAAAAUAUAUUCAAUAGAUUUUGGGUUGAAAAUGUUUUUUUUUCUUUUUUCAAAAUGUUUUAAAUAUAUGAUGGGUUUUAAAAACAAAUUUAAGGUGUUUUCACUCAAACAUUGUUAAUUAUUUUAAGAACAAACACCUGCCUUCUUUGUCAUAUUAUAGUUUUAAAUUCCCAAAUGCAAUUUUGGUUUUAAAACAUUAUCAAAUCUAAGAGCUUGUUUGAUUGUAUGAUUUAAAAAUGGUUUUUUGUUUUUAAAAAUAGAAAUUAUUUUAAAAAAUUUCUAAUACUAUUUGGUCGUUAUUUUUAAAAACAAUAUUUAAAAAUAAAGUGAAAUAGAGAAUAAUUUUCAAAAAAUAAAUGAGUUGUUUUCAUAGAUUUUUAAAAAUAAAAGAAAAAUAUGGAUUCGUUUAACCAUGUUUUCUGGAUCUUAUUUUUAAAAAUUGGUUUUAAAUUAAAGAAUAAAAGUCAAUUUUUAAAAAUAAGUUUAAAAAAACAUGGUCAAACAAGUUUAACUUAUGAUUAAAGCCACAAAUAAAAAUUGACCCAAAUGGGGAGCUUAAUGGUUGUAUCAUAUUUACCAGUAAACAAAAAAAGAAAUUGGCAAAAGGUUGGAUAAGAACAAGUGGGAUGAGUUGCAUGGAGGGCAUGGUGUGGAAAUCACAUGUGGGCUGAUUAGUUUAAGAUGGAUUUGGUUGCCUCUGCCCCAUCUGCUAAGGUAAUGACCCACUUGAACUCAUGAGAUUGGUUUCAAACUUUGAAUAAAAGACCCGUUCCAAGUCAUCCGCCUUCACUUUUAACCCUUCAAUUUUUUUAUUUUUUUUUGUUUUUUAACCUAAAAAAUUUUAGGGCACAUUUUGGACAUGCUUGAAAUGAAAGCUACCCCACAAUCACACCUAUUUUCCAUAUCGUUUGGUAUGAACUACCUUUUGUUGGUUUUCCAAAAGGUGCCUUUUAAGUUUUUAAAAUUUUUUGCUUUGAGAGUGAAGUGGGUUUUUUUAUGUUGACUAAGAGAAAAAUCCUCCACGUAUCAAAAAAUGUAGUUUCCCAAAGUUGACCACACCCAUUGGAUUUUGUGGACUUUCUUUGUGGACCACCCCCAAAAAGAAGGGAAUUGUAGUACCUCAACCACACCAUUAAAUACAUCAGGCCAAUCCUUGCAUAAAGGUUGCAUUUAGCAAUCUUAUCAAACCCUUUGGCCCAAUUCAAAUAACACCCUUCAAGUGGGGAGGGCCCCCAUCACCUAAGCUUGUGGCAUACCCUUAAUGCCCAUUCAUUGCCCAUCAUCACCACCAUGCUAGGGUUUUCAAUCAACCUCAUACAACUAUGCUAAUCUCCUUUGUUUUUUGUAGCAAUAUUUGACCUUUGAUGCCCCAAGGACUACUCAAUGUAGUAUGAUGUUCCUUAACAAUGAACCAAAGGUUUUAGGUUUGAUUCCUUUGUGAGAAUGCAUUCCCCAUCAUAUUUGACCUUGAGUGCUACGCAAUUGACUUAAAAACACCAAUGAUGAUCAAAAUAAUCAUGAAGUUUAAAUGAAAGAGAACUUGUGGAAGACAUUAUGGGAGUUUUUCAUCCUUUUUGCAUCACAUGUAUUAAAAUAACUCCUUCAAUAUCAUGCUCAACUCAACAAUCCAAGAAGGAAAAAGAAAAAGACAAGAAUUAAGACUAUGAGAGUUUGAAGAAUUCACUCACUUAUUGAAAAAAAUCAUGCAUUUUUAGACGUCAAGGUGGUUUGUUGAGGCACACAACCAUUGCUUUCCGUGGGCAAUGUGUAUUAUUUUAGCUGUGUCAGCUACCCUUCUCUAAGAAUUACAUCAAGAGCAUUGAGAUUCAAUAAUCCUGUUAUUGUCAAAGAUGAAUUGAUUUGGUUUAUGAUUACCUUUGAUAGCAUAUGUAUCAAAUGUAUUUUCCAAGUAACACUCAUUAUUUUUAUUUUUGCUUUGAAAUUUUGCCACCUGGGAUUAUAGGAUUAGGUUACCUUUUCUCCAAGUGGAAAUUUUGCCAGCUUUGAAAUUUCCAACUUUCUUUUUUCUUUUUUGAUCUGCCAUGAAAGGAAAACAUGGAAAUCUUCAUCAAACAACAGUAAUAAAGAUAGAACAGAUGGUAAACAUUGUCUGCUAAAACCUUAGUCUUAUGGGAAACAACAUUACAUUGUAAUUCGAACCCAAAAACACCAACAAAUUUCUCAACCAAUUCGCUUUCCAUGUACCUGCCUGUGUGUUUUCUCUUCAACAUGAGAAAGAUCAAAACAUCCUGAAUUGGACAACAUUUUUUGUACCCCAAGUCUUUACAAUCAUCAUGACCAUCAUGUUUGGUAGACCUGUUUAAGGGCCUUUAUGGAUUUUAAUAGCAAUAGCAUAUGAAGGGGCCCAAAAUCAAGGCAUGGCAUCCUCUUCCUGGGUAGUUAUGGCCAUGUGAGAGGUUUAAUUGCCUAUGACCAGUCCAAUAGUGACAGUUACCAGAUUAUAUCAAUUCUUGUGAACAUGUGUGAUUUGCAAUAAAAGAGCUACAAAUUUGACCUUUUCCACUUGAUCUGGACACAUGCUGAAGUUUUGAGAUAGGAUUCUUGAAUUUAAAAUUGGGAUUAGAGCAACUGGCCUAUAUAUAUAUAUAUACACACACUUUACACUACCCAAAAGUCAUGAACAUACUAUUUAAAAUAACCAAAAGUAGGUUUUGGCAUCUGCUAGAUGCCGAAUAUGUUUGAAUAGUACAUGAUAAUUUAUGAUAAUAUUGUAGCCUGCAUCUAAUUAUAAUUAGGGAAUCUAUUAACAGUACCAACUACAUAGUUUAAAAUUAUUAACAAGCAGUCCCUUCAUUUCAUUAUCCGUUACUGACUUUGUCAACAUAAAAAUGUUAACAAGUGUUCUUUCUAAUCAUCUUAUUAGCUGGUAUUUGACUCAUUAAACUCUUAUGGUUCCCAUCAUCAUCCACUGUUGUAUUUCUAAUAGCUUACCCAAUUAACCACUAAUGCAACUUUCUUUUCUUAAAUCUCAGGGACGUGGUCUAAUCAUUAGGGUAGUAUUUUAUCAUGGUACCGUGUCCAAGUUUUUAUGCAUUCCUUCUUGUUUUAAGCUUACACCUGCAGAUUUAUUAAACAUAAAUCACGUCAUCGUCCAAUGCGUACUCUAUCGUUUUAAAGGAAGCCUUCUUAUUCUGAAGGCUAAUCCAUUUCAUAGUUACAUCACUGUUUAUAAGAAGGGGAAGGAAAGAUUGACAUUUUCUUGAGUUGACUUCUAACCUUAUAUUUUAUCUUUUCUGUAAGUUAACAACCUAGGAUCUAUGUUGGCGCCGUUUUUGUUAUCACCAAUGGACUUGUUCAUCCUGAUUAUACAUCUUAGCAAGAGAGCUACACAUAGUUUCAUUAAGAGGUUAGGAUAAUGACAAUUAUGCUGAGGAGGAUGAUCAAUAUGACAAAGGACAUUUUUGUUAUGAUAAUCCAAAUGGAAGCAACCCAUCUCUAUCUAAUCUCAGCUUUCCGUGUUAUUAUGUUUUUUUUUUUUCCCUUUCAUUUUUCUUUUGUUUCAGUUAAUCAGAUACAUACAACCAAACAAUUCCUCAUGUUUUUCACAUGGAACAUUGCACUAAACCAAUCAAAAUAAUUCUCAUGAAUUGGUCAAGCUAAACUAUUUAUGGCAAAGAAGAAAGCACUUGGCCUAUCAGAGAAUUGAAUAACGAACAAUGUCUAAAUCAGCUUCACAGAUCAUAACAGUUAUGGUUAGACCUUUCAACGAUGCAAUAUCAAAAUCCAUGCUUGAUGCCAGUUCUCCGCACGGAUUUAAAAUUCCACAAUGCCUGCAGAUGACAAAAAUCAUAUUCAGACAAGAUCAAGUUAAACUGGGUGGGGAAAAAUUCACUUGAAAAAACUAAAUUCACCAAAGAACUCCAUAAAUUUGCAGACAAAAUAAAUACUUAAAUACAUUUUCCAACUUUUGGGCAGUGCAAUAUACUUAAACAUUUUCACCUUACAUACUAAUUCAGGUUCUACACAAUAUUUAAAUUAUAAAUUUGAAAAGGCAUGAUCCUUACAGCAAGAUGGUCCAUCGAAGGAAAGAGACAACUCAUCUACCUGCUCAGAUAUGUUAGAAUUUUUGUGAUAUAUUUAUAUGUUAGAUGUAUUAAAACUCAAGUGGUCCCUAAUCUUUCAAAAUUAUGUCCAUGUCUGCAUGGAGCAUCUAUUGACAAUUCCAUAAUUCUUAUUAUUCAACCAAAAUAAAGUUAAGCCGUAAAAUAGGAUAAAGCCAAAUAAAGAACCAUUUUGCUUGACCAACCAAAACAAAGUAAUUCGUUGGAAAAUACGGUAUCAUAGAGAUGCAAGCAAGAAAUAUAGAACAAGAUAGAGUAUCAUUGUCAAAUGAGUUGUGUGCAUCAUAGCUGAUAUCUAAUGAAAAAUUCUAGCAACAGCAUCACAGGAUUGUAAUCACUUGUGCUCACAUGAAUCAUAUCCGUACAUAAGAAUCAUAAAUAGUUUUGUUUUUGUGAUUGUAUCUCUUGAAAUAGAUUACUUUCAUUUUGAAGAGAGAAUCAAAGUACAAACAUGAAAAGAAAUUAUGCAUUACAGAAUCACAGGUUUGUGACCCUAGGAUGAUGCAUGCACCAACUAUUACAAAACUUAAAAAUAAAACCAAUCAAUCUAUUGUUUGAGCAACUUUGGAUAUAAAAUAUUGCCUUAAGCCUGUCAUAUAUUAAGACAUAAGAUUUAUGCUUCAAUUCUGUAAUAAAUAAAGUCCCUUGGAUGUAGCUUAGCGGUAGUGCCCUCUGGCAAUGAACCAGAUGUUUUGAAUUUGAGGCUCAAUAUCACCCCGGGUAUGCUUUGCCAGCAAUUGGGAUUGUUGACUGAGAGAAAGGAGUGUCUUAUCCCUCAAGGAAUGCGUACGAACUUUUACAAAAUCAACAAAAUGACUAAACUGCCCUUUACCAAAUAACUACUAAUAACUCUUUAAAACUCCCCCUCAAGCUGAGACAUAUAUACUACUAAGACCCAACUUGGAACAUAUAAUACAAAAAAGAUUUCUCCCGAAAGUUUCAGCAAACACAUCACCGAACUGAUCGUCAGACUUGGAUGUAAGGAGUUAUCACUUUCUUACUCAUCAUAAUUUCUCUAAUAAAAUGAUGGUCCACUUUAAUAUGCUUGAUUCUUUCAUGAAACAUCGGUUACUGGCAAUAAGCUUUUCAAGAUAAACUCUAAGCUCUUGUAAUAGGUUCUGAAUCCACAUUAGCUUACACAUUGUAUGUGCCACAUAGCCUUGUAUUCUCACUAGAUCUAGCUAUUACAUUCUCUUUUUUAUUCCUCUAAUAACUAGAUUACUAUAAAAAAAAAAGGCACAAUACUCACUAGGAGACCUCUUGUCAGUUGAGGAUCCUGCCUAGUCUGCAUCCAAAAAACUCACAACAUCAAGGCUAGAGUUGGACCUUCUGUAGAGUACUCCCAUACCUAUAGUACCUUUGAGAUACCUCAGGAUUCUGCACACUACUUCCCAAUGAAUCUUCUAGGGUGCUUCCAUGAACUGACUCAUUGUACUGAUCGGAAAAGUAAUAUUACAUCUGGCGACUGUCAAACAAAUAGCUUGCCCACUAGACUCCGAUAUCUGCUUUUAUUUGAAAACACAAGGCUAUCAUCUCCAUUAAGAUUCACAUUUUGCUCCAUAGGAGUGUCAACUGGCUUUUCUCCUAACAUGUCAAUUUCAUUAAGCAAUUCCAAUACAUACUUCCUUUUAGACAAAACAAUCUCACCUCUACCAUGUGGAACUUCAAGGCCCAAAAAGUAAUGUAAUAACCUAAGAUCCUUUGUCCGAGAGGUAUUUUUAAAGUAAUCUUUCACUUCUUUAAUACCUGCAACAUCACUACUAGAAACAAUAAUAUCACCUACAUAUACAAUGAGUACUACUACACAAGUUUCCCUUUUGAGAACAAAUACUGAGUGGUCAAAAUUACAUCUUUUAAAAACCAAAUGAUAGAAGAAUAGUACUCAAUUUAUCAAACUAAGCUUGAGGAGAUUGCUUUAAUCCAUAAAUAGCCUUAUUUAGUUUGCAAACUCUUAACUCCUAACUCCUCUUGAGUAACAAACCUAGGUAAUUGCUCCAUAUAGACUUUCUCACUCAAAUCACCAUAUAAAAAUGCAUUCUUCACAUCUAACUGAUGUAGACUCCACCGAACUUAAUAGCUGAGGAAAUUGGAAUUGUUGAAUAUAAUGAAUGUAUAGUGUACAAUCUUUCCUUUUUAAUAUAGGUCACAUGUAUGGUAGUUAGGACUCCUAGCCUUGUAUAUAUAUAUUUUCUUAAUUGUAAGUAGACACAAUGAAUGAGAAUCAAGGUUUUCUGCUCUCUCUCUCUCUUAACAUGGUAUCAGAGCCAAGGGAGAAAACCUAAUUCUUUCCGGUUUCCCCGUGUCAUCAAUUCCGGGAAACCUUCCUGUGACCGUGUUUCAUUCCGGUUACCUUCCCCAAACCCCAAAGCUUUCCGGUCGGUCGAAUCGUCGUCAGAAAACGCUUUCCGGUCGGUCGAAUCAUCGUUAGAAAACAUUCACCGCCGGCGACUUUUCCGGCGACGUCUUUUUCCCACACCGCAAGGAGCGCCUGGAGGAGAUCUCCAAUUUUUCCCAAAGCACCGGAGCCAGAAAACCACCCACGCGCCGGCCACGCGCGUUUUUCUGGCCGGCAACUGCAUCUCACGCGCCGGCGCGUGAGCUACUUUCCGGCGACGCGCUUCCUCCUCCAACCUCGCCUGACGCCAACUAGCCACCCUUCAUACUUGUUUCUGCCAUCCGAGCCCUGCACGUGCCUCUUUUGGGGUUCUUUUGCCUCCGCCGGCCCUUCGAACAGUUUUUCCAGCGUCCUCCAGCUAUUUUUUCUCAACCCCAAUCCCUGCACGUGCCUUGGGAAGUGUUCUUCUGCCUUUCUGAAUAGCAAUGGGUAAAUCAUCAGGAGAAGGCAGAGUUGGGAUCCUCUGUUUCUCUUCCAAAGAGCACCCAUGAAGCUCUUUCCCAUCCAGGCUGGCAACAGGCAAUGGUGGAUGAAAUGGAUGCUCUGCACUCUAAUGGCACUUGGGAUCUUGUUGUUUUACCCUCUGGUAAAUCUACAGUUGGCUAUCGUUGGGUCUAUGCAGUUAAGGUUGGUCCUGAUGGUCAGGUUGAUCGCCUUAAGGCCUGCUUAGUUGCUAAAGGCUAUACUCAGGUUUAUGGUUCUGAUUAUGGUGACACAUUCUCCCCUGUUGCCAAGAUUGCUUCUGUCCGCUUGCUUCUCUCCAUGACUGCUAUGUGUUCUUGGCCUCUUUAUCAGUUGGAUAUUAAAAAUGCUUUCCUUCAUGGUGAUCUUGCUGAGAAAGUUUAUAUGGAGCAACCUCCUGGUUUUGUUGCUCAGGGGGAGUCUGGUUUAGUGUGCAGGUUACGCCGUUCUCUAUAUGGCUUGAAACAAUCUCCUCGAGCAUGGUUUGGCCAUUUUAGUUCUGUUAUUCAAGAGUUUGGCAUGCUUCGCAGUACAGCAGACCAUUCAGUUUUUUAUCAUCAUAACUCCUUGGGGCAGUGUAUUUAUCUGGUUGUUUAUGUGGACGACAUCGUCAUUACAGGCAGUGAUCAGGAUGGUAUUCAGAAACUAAAGCAACAUCUUUUUACCCACUUUCAAACCAAAGACUUGGGGAAACUCAAGUAUUUCUUGGGAAUUGAGAUAGCUCAAUCCAGUUCCGGUGUGGUCCUUUCCCAAAGGAAGUAUGCUUUAGACAUCCUGGAAGAAACUGGUAUGUUAGAUUGUAAACCGAUAGACACACCUAUGGAUCUGAAUGUCAAACUUGUACCAGGACAGGGGGAGCCUUUAGGAGACCCUGGGAGAUAUCGACGGCUCGUAGGUAAAUUGAACUAUCUCACCAUUACUCGUCCAGACAUUUCUUUUCCUGUAAGUGUUGUUAGUCAAUUCCUACAAUCACCAUGUGAUAGCCAUUGGGAUGCCGUAAUCCGCUUUCUUCGAUAUAUCAAAAGUACACCAGGCCAAGGUGUGUUGUACGAGAACAGAGGUCAUACUCAGGUUGUUGAUUACACAGAUGCAGAUUAGGUUGGCUCACCCACAGAUAGACGUUCCACUUCAAGGUACUGUGUUUUUAUUGGAGGUAAUCUAAUAUCUUGGAAGAGUAAGAAACAAGAUGUAGUGGCCAGAUCAUAGUGCUGAAGCUGAGUAUCGAGCUAUGGCUUUGGCAACAUGUAAACUCAUAUGGUUGAGACAUCUUCUUCGAGAGUUGAGAUUUGGAAAGGAUGAACAGAUGAAACUCAUAUGUGAUAACCAGGCCGCAUUACAUAUUGCAUCCAAUCCAGUCUUUCAUGAAAGGACCAAAUAUAUUGAAGUUGACUGUCACUUCAUUAGAGAGAAGAUCGCAUCAGGAUGUGUUGCUACAAGUUUUGUUAAUUCAAAUGAUCAAUUAGCAAACAUCUUCACUAAAUCUCUCAAAGGUCCUAGGAUUAAAUACAUUUGUAACAAGCUUGGUGCAUAUGACGUAUAUGCUCCAGCUUGAGGGGGAGUGUUGAAUAUAAUGAAUGUAUAGUGUACAAUCUUUCCUUUUUAAUAUAGGUCACAUGUAUGGUAGUUAGGACUCCUAGCCUUGUAUAUAUAUAUUUUCUUAAUUGUAAGUAGACACAAUGAAUGAGAAUCAAGGUUUUCUUCUCUCUCUCUCUUAACAGGAAUACACACUGAAUUAAGAUGAGCAACAAGAGAGAAAGUCUCAAAAUUUUCUACCCUAUAAGUUUGAGUAUAGCCUUUAGCAACUAAGUCUUCAAUCGUUUUAUAGUCUCAUAUGGAUGAUACUUAAUGGUAAAAACCCAACAACAACCUAAAACAUCCUUUCCUCGAGGCAAAUCAACGAGUGCUCAUGUACCUCUAUUUAGGAGAGCAUGCAUCUCUUAUUCCAUGGCCUUCUUUUAUGCAAUAUGAUUUAGAACUUCUUGAUAAGACUUAGGGGUGAAAAUAGAGGCCAAAAUACUAAAAAGUGAGGGAAAUGUUAUCAAAAGAUACAUAAUGAGUAAGAGGAUAGUGAGUACAAUUGAGUUUACCUUCCCUGCAUGCAAUACGGAGGUUCAACUCAUCGGGAAUUGAGGCAACGAAAAUUGGUUAUGGUAUUCCUUCAUCCACUAAUGAGUCCAAAGGAGGUAGAGAUUGAGUUUGAUCUACUUCAUUGUCUUUGGCUAAUCUUUUUCGCUAAUACACUUGUAAUGGUUUGUCAAUCUUAGAUAGAGAAGUAUCAAUAACAACGGGAAGAGGAACAGACUUAGACUUAAAUAAGUCAUUGUCUAAGAGGGUGUUUAGUAAAUCAACUUAAUAACUUAAUAUGGCUUAAUAACUUAAUUUUAAGUCAUUACGUAGAUUAAGCAUGUUUAGUAAAAUAACUUAAAGUAUUUACUCUUAAUCUUAGAUCUUUUUUACCUCAUUUGCCUCUAUUAGUGAGAAUAUAUUUUAAAAUUAUGAUUCCACAUCCAUAACUCAUUUUUUAUAAUAAAUAUUUUAUCAUUAUCUCGUAUCAAUAUAAUACUUUAAAUAUUAAUGUUUUAUACAUAAAUUUAUUACUUAAAAUUAAUAAAAAUAAUAUGAGUUAAAAUCAAUGAAAGUAAAGAUCAGUUAAAAUUACUGAAGGGUAAAUAUGUUAGUUUAAUGAUUUAAAAUAUAUUUGAAGUAAACUUUACUAAACAACCUUAAUACUUAAAGUAAAAAAUAUGUAAUAAAUUUUAAGUUAACAACUUAAAAACAAUUUACCUUAAAGUUAACUUAAGUCAUUAAAUAAUAAAUAUUAAGUUUUACCAAACAAUCACUAACUGUAAACCAUGGUCAAGAAAAUAAAUAGUUUUAAAGAAUGUUAUAUCAAUACUAAUAAAGUAUUUACGAGACAUGGGAUCAAAACAUUUAUAUUGUUCCUAAGUUUUAGCAUAUCCCAAAAAUACACAUUUGAAGGAUUAAGGAUCAAGCUUGUCUUUAUGUGGAGAAAAAUUAUGAACAAAGCAAACACAUCCAAAAAGUCUAGGAAGGAGAGAAAAUAAGGGAUGAUAAGAAAAUAACAUAGAAUAUAAAGUCUUUUGAUGCAACAUAGAGAAGGGUAACCAAUUUAUCAAAUAACAUAUAGUCAUAAUAGCAACCCCCCAAUAAGAUUUUGAGACUCAUAUGAAACAUAAUAGAACAAGCAACAUCCAAUAAGUGACGAUUUUUCCUUUCAACAACUCCAUUUUGUUGCUUGUACAAACACACAAAAAUUGGUGNNNNNNNNNNNNNNNNNNNNNNNNNNNNNNNNNNNNNNNNNNNNNNNNNNNNNNNNNNNNNNNNNNNNNNNNNNNNNNNNNNNNNNNNNNNNNNNNNNNNAAUAAUCAAGUGACUCAAGAACAAUUAUCAAUAAAACUAAUAAAGCAUCUAAACCCUUGAACAUUAGGGAUGUGACACAAAACCCUAACAUUUGAAUGAAUUAAAAGUAAAAUGACUUGGACUCCUGUUAUUAAUCCUCGAUAGAAAAUAUAACCUAUGAUGUUUGCCAAGUUCACACAACUCACACUUAGGCUUAUUCAACAACUUUAGAGACAAUCCUAAGGAAUGUAGCCACUCAAAAGAAGCAUGACCCAACCUGUAAUGCCAUUGGAGAGGAGUAACAGGUGAAGAGAAAACAAUAACAUUUGACAUCUUUCUAUAUGAGAAUGGAAUAUAGAUUGAAUAUUGAGAUAAUAAAGCCCAUCUAACUCGAGUCCUUCACCAACCAUCCUCUUUGUGUGGAGAUCCUGAAAAACACAACGAGAAGGAAAAAGAUAAGGGCAUAGUUAAAUUGUUUAGUAAGCUAACUAACAGAUAAUAAAUUAAUAGGAAAUUUAGGUACAUAUAGAACAAAAUUAAGUUUAAAAGGAGACAAUGGAAUGGAAUGGACCAUCCCUUGACCAAGGACAGAAGAAGAAGAUCCAUUGGCAAGAAAGACAAGGAUAUAUUAGAAGCCUUAUUUAAGUGAGAAAAUUAAAUUGACUCUCCAAUCAUGUAACAAGAAGCGCCAAAAUCUAUAACCCAAGGAGAGGAAGACUAGUUAAGAGUAAGAAGUGCAUGUGUAUACGAAUGUGCUCUUAUAGCAAUGGGAGCACUGAUGUUUGAUCAUAAGGACAUCUUUGGUUGUUUGAUCUAGUGGUUUCCUUUAGGUAGUUAGUCUAGUUGUUUCAUUUAGGUGUUUUGCAUGUGUGGUUUUGUGUUUGAACCGAAUCCUCUUCAGGGUAUUGAAUUUUAUUUUAUUUUUAUAAGUAAAUAAAGAUAAUAUAUUAAAAGCCAACGUGAUGCAAUAAAAGAGAUAAUAUAUUAAAAGCCAACGUGAUGCAAGAAGUAUACAAUAGAGGCCAACAGGCAAGCAAGAGAGAAAAGAAAUGCAAAAACCAACCAUCCCACAACAAACAAACCACCACACCCUAAAAACCAUUAAAGAAGUGAAAACACCCCUGAUCACUUCACUACAACCCAGAAGCACAACUGCAGAAAGAAUAAGCAUCCUCACAACAAGAGAGAUCAAACCCCAUUACUCUUUCCUCUUCCCUUGACAGAGAGAGGAAAGCUAUUGUAAUUAACUAAGCAUUACAAUUUACGAAUUUCCCUCUCAGCACGGGAUGGCGAGUACGUUAUACUCUUUCUGCCUGAGAUCUUUACUCCAUGCCUUUUUUCUAGCUUCCAUUUUCCUUAGGAGGGAGGUAAUUUCCUUCUUGAAUCCCGCCAUUAGCAUCCCUAAAAAGCUACUGAACUUGGCAAACUUACAAGGAAGGCUUUCGGAAAAUACCACCUCCUCCAUCGAAUCGCUAUUAGCCUUCAAGACCCUAAAAUCCUCCACAUACUCAGCCCUAACCACCAAAUCCCUCCCCAAAGGAGCCUUUUUUGCACUUCCCGUUAGGUCCAACAACCUUCCAUCUUAGAACAACAACCUUAGAGGUUCAGAACCCGAACAUAAGGAGGGCUCAACCAAUAACAAGUAGUUAUGUUGCCAUAGAUGGGCGAACCAACUAAAGAGUGAAAAGGGGAAGAAGGGAAUGAUGAAGGCCUUCCUUCGAAACUAGUAGUUUCUUCCAUUAAGGCUUUGUCGACUCUCGAAACCUACACCUCCAGACCUUGAGUUGUCGCUUUUAGAAGGGGAUCAAAGAACUCCAAAGGGUUAGCAAGACCCUCACCUCUAAAUUAACUCAGAACCCACUUGGGACUUCUUACCCACACUCCCCAAAGGGGUGGAAGACAAAUCGUUAGGCCAGCCCACUAGUAAGCUUAAAAAACACGACCCAUCAAGGCAACCUCUAGAAGAGCCAAAUCCACCUGCAAUGUGUAGGCCCAAGAAGACACUAGGGCCCCCUUCGCUUACUACUCUUUUUGGAUGCUAGGGACCCGCCAGCCAACUAGGGGGCCCAAGAAGCCCACUCACAAGGCUUUUGACCUUGUUUGAAACGUGCACAGAAAGGCCAAGCUCAGCACCCGACACCUGCAGCACAUCUCCAACAAGUUUCCUUCCUCCCCGCUCCACACUCUACGUCGCACGUGCACUUCCCUCCCUUUCACCCCUGACUUCAACAAAAUUGCAACUCCCCUUGGAAACCACCUCGACAACCAUGGCAAUACCUCCACCAUAAAUAGAUGGCAAAAACGACUUCUUCAUCCAUCACAAACAACUACUCGGGGUCUUUCUCCUACUAUAUUUAACUCGUAAUCUAGCCCAUUUCAGAAGACACCUCUCCUUUAUAUCCAAGUCCACUACAAAGAACCCUUUACAGGCAUCACCCAAUCUCUUGAAUAAAGCUUUUCUCCACAGAUGCACUGGUAGUCCCAAUACCCUCACCCACGCUUCAUUGACGCUAGCAUCGCCCUUGAAACAACCAUCCUCUAGCCUCCACCACUCCAACUACCUUUUUCUUCCCUCAACCAAAAUAGGCCCUAAAAGCAAGACCCUUUCAACUUCAAACAAUACUUUAUACUCGAAUAAAAUAAGUGAUUCUCCUAACAAACACAGAUUUUAACUCCUCUUUCAACCCCCAAACAUGUCGAGCCUAAGAAUACUAUGAUUUUAAAACCAACAAACAACUCGAAGAAGCAUCCCAUCUCCCUACUAGACACUUCUUGAGAGACCCUAAGUUGCUCAAAACCUCUUUUGUCUCACUCUCAAUCCACACUACCUCGCCUACCUCCCCCUUACCUCUGUUCAACACCUUUGCAAAAGAAGCCAAGUUUAAAAGAAUGUCUCCUUCAUUUUUUUCUUUUUCCUCUCGAAACCUGAUAAACUCCUUCGAAGCCUUCAAAGGCCUUGUCUCAGGAGCAGUUCUGAUACUCCUAAGCUUGGAUGUUCCACCCCCCAGGAACUCUUUGCCCUCUAGAAAAACCAAGGAGAAUUUUUCUCCUCUGCACUCAAAGCUAAGCAAAGCAGGAAUCUUCCAACAUUAUUGUUACGCAACUCCACACCCUUCUAAAAGAUCCAAAAAACUUCUCAUUACAACAAUCUUCCACCCCCUUUCAGAAGCCCAACAAGACCCCUCUUUCCGAACCUGAUCCAAGAGGAAAACCCUUGGCCCUUUUCCACAAUCUUGUCUACCUCCUUACCUUUUACUGUCUCCGGCAAGAUUUCAAAGGUUUUCGACUCAACUCCAAACCAACAAGAAACUCCAAGAGUACCCAAACCAACAUUUUCCUCCAUUGCUUAGAUGUAACAAUCUUACCAAAUCCAGCAAUCUUCCUCCAUUACUGUUUUUCUCCGAACCAGCAAUGUUACCAAGAAGAUGAUAGAGCUUUGUUCCUCUUCAUGGUGUUGAUGCAAUUACCUCUUGGUUGCUUGUGGAAAUAACCUUUCAAUUGGAAUUGUUUUCUUUUUUAUUAAUCAAUAUCAUAGUUAGAAAGGCUUGAACCAUUCAUUUUUGCAGGUCCUAAAGCUCUAUUAACACCCCAAGGUAGGUGCUCCCUAAGCCAAAAAGAAAAAGAAGCUUAACUACAGCUUGGAGGAGCUCUUGGUGACAAUUGGCGCCACAUUGGCACCACCUACUAGUUGUUGCCAUCUAACUAUUGCAUGAGGAUGUUCUAGGUAGAAAUUGUCACCACAUUGGUGCCAACCUUGUGGUGCCACCAUUUGGACACAUUGGGACGUUCUUGGUAGACAUUGGUGCCACAAUAGCGCCAACCCUAUGGUGUCGCCACUUUCGGUGCACUUUGAGAUUUUGGGCUUCUUCUAAGGCCUAACCCCACGCUUCUUCUUAGGCCCACUACCAUGCUUUACAAAGAUGCCCAAUCUUCACUUUUAAAUGAGGCUUAUUGUCAUAGACUGUUUGUUUGGUAUCCAUGACCGUAGCGGACGUGCUGAUCAAGAUUAGUAUGUUAACUGGUUUGAGCUUAAUGUAAUGGGAAUCGCUUUAGAAAAAUGAUGUGUAUGUGAUGUUGGAUGCUUCUUCAAAGUUCAGGCAGGUUGACCCGAUUAAGUUUGGAGCGCUUGUUGCUUGUCAAGGACUUGACAAUGAAGAGGAGCUUGGUCAUCUCCUACACAAACUAGUUGGGAGCUAGAGCCAUUCCCCUUAUGAGUCCAUGGCAAGACGAAACCAGUCAACAUAGUGGCAUUGAAAUACAUGGCAUACUGGCUGAGCCCCUUUGAUUCUUGCCCAUAGGGUCGCCGCAUGGGUCAUGCCACUAUGUUGGAACUCUAAGCCCAUGACACUAUGCUCUCAUUUACAGAAGAGCCAAGAUUUAAAUUUGAAAGAGGUCCAUGUUUUUAAUUUAAAAAGAACCCUUCUUCCAAUUCAAGUGAGGCUCACCCUCUCUCACUAUAAAAUCCACUGCACAUCCUAUUCACAUUCACUUCAACCGUUCCAACCUUUUUCUCUUUCUACAAACACAUUCAUCCAUUUUCUUUCCAAGUUGCCAAGUAAGGUAAGUUCAUUUUUUUUUCUUCUAAGAUCUUGUUAGUUUUUUAUUAUUUAUGCAUCCUAUCGUGUUUUUGAACUAUUUUUAUGUGUAUUAGGAGCAUUGUGAACUCAACCCUUGCCUCAUUUAGAGGUAAUGCUUGUCAUGUCCAUCACAUGUUUGAUCAAUUGCCUACAUGAAUUUGUUUUCUUUAAUGGUUUCUAUCCUCCUUGCACAUUGCAUCUUUGAGAGUAAUAAAGUGUUGAGGAUAUGUUUCACUCAUCACCAUACUCAUUUAGAAGUGAAGCGAUGUUUGCCCAACAAGUUUUUGAUAAAAUGCCCACAUGUAUUAACUUCUCUUCUUUAGCUUUCCUUUCAUUACAUAUUGCAUCCUUGAUGGAAUGUGGAUUAUUGGAUAUGUUUUGCACACACUAUCCCACUUCUUUGAAGGUGAAAUUUUCUUUGCAUCCUAUGUAUUUGAUAAUAUGCCUCCAAGAAUUUUCUUUCAACCUUUGUUUUGCUUUUCUUCAUUAGUGAAGUUCUUUAUUUGUUUUCUUCAUAUUACUAUCUUAUUUAUGCUUUUCUCUCAUUCUUUAUUCUAUCAUCUUAACUUUUUUCUUCCUUCUUUUAUUUUCAGCAAUGGCACUCAAGUUGAGCAUGUUUAGGGGUAAAAGAUGGUCCUUCGGCAUUAAUUGAUUUCAUUGAUUGGGUAGGGUCCCAAUGAGGGAGAGGUUGUUUUUUGUACAUCUUAAGUCGCUAUUUUAGCGUCUUUUUCGUAAUACAUUACUCUCACUUAUCAAAAAAAAAAUGUUUAGGGGUAAGAGAAGGGAUGGGGAGACAUCUGCAUCGGCAUCAAAGCGGACCCAAGCUGCAAGCUCUUCUUAACCUCGCCCCCAAUAUGAUACAGUUAAUGUCGAGUUUGCCUAAAGAGAGUUCAAUCAUCAACUCACAUCAUCAUCAAGUAAUUUCAAACCAUAGAGAUAAUUAUUUGGGUGGUAAAUGUAAUGCAUUUUCAAAUGUUGAAAUUCAAUGGAAAAAAAUUCUCUCCAAAUUAGUAUUUGAUAUUCACUUUCAAACACAUUUGUUAUUAGCCCACAUUAUAUUGUGGACUAAUAACAAUAAUUUAUCUUAUUUUAUUAAAAAAACUAAUUUAAUUUGUACAUUAUUUGUUUUAUUAUUUCUUAAAGUUUCAUUCAAGAUUUUCAUGUUUUGAGGUCAAUUUUUGUGAUUUCUUUCAUUUUUACCGAUAUUGAUAUUAAUGUCAAUAUUUUCAUCAAUAUUUCCAUAAAAUCAAACCACUGACAUUUUCAUCGAUAUUGACACUUUCAUCCUUCGUUAUAACAAAACAUUAUAAGCUAAAUAUAUAGACUUAUAAGAAGUAGAAAGUUAUAAUUGCUAAAAAAAUGAUCUCAUUAUGUGGAUAAUUUGUAUGCUAACAAAAAUUAAAAGAUUAGAGUAUUUAGAUUUUGAGAUAGUUGAUCAAAGUAGAAUUAAAAAAAAAAUUGCAAAAAAAAGAAAGAUAAGUGUAAUUUCACAAUAAAAUUUUAUAGGUAUAAAAAGAAUUCUUGACAUUUUAGAACAUUUCCAAAACAAUAAAAUUAAAAAUAUUGUGAGCAAGUUAGAUUAUAUAAAAACUUAAAAACUAAAACAAUGCAAUACACAACUAAGAAACCUUCUACAUAAAAAGGAACUUAGAGUCUAAAACAUAAUAAGCUUAAAGAAAUAAAAAUAGCAAUACAAUGUUUGAUAGAAGUUGAUAAAAUAAAGUUUGUACAAGACAACCUAUUAAUGCAAACAAAAGAAUAGAAAAAAGAAAAUUAUUGGUAUGAUUAAUAAAUCUAUACAUCACAUAGAAACCUUAAAAAGGUUAAAGAAAGAGAAUAUGACGCUAUAUGAUUUAGUACACUUAGUCCAUCUUACUGGACCAAAUUAAAUAAAACACUAGGAUAAUUCAACUUUUGAUUCAAAAACGAAGUAAUACAAAACAAAAAUCUUGACAAAGAAAUCACAAAAUUAAAUUAUCAAAAUUCCUUGUAGAAAAACUGCAGUAAGAAGUAAAGAGAAAAUACAUCUUUUUUAAAUGCAAAGAAUGACCUUUUCCUCAUCCUAAUCCAUAAUUUUUUUUAAUAAGCAUCUUAAUCCAUCAAUAAAGUUCAUAAUUAAUUAAAUUGUAAUCUCCUUAAAAUCAUUUUCCCAAAACUAAAGGUGAUAAUUUGCACAAAACAUUUGUUAGAAGAUGACGUUCAACAUAUAUAGAAUAAGGAUAAAAUAGAGUAAAAGCUAUAAAUCUAUAUUAAGAAAACAGAUUUUCAAAUCUUGUUAACAUAAGUAAAAAAUAUGCAUGCAAUCCCAAACUACUUAUAUAUGAUGAUAAAUAGAAUAAUCAUGACUAAGCACAGAUUGCAUCUAUCAAAAUCAACUUAGAUACAAAGGGAUCCAUAUUAAGUCGUAUUUCAAAUUUUACUAUGAAAAGCAAAAAAAUUAGUAAGCAUAUUCAAAUAUGUAUUAAUAUCAUAGGUAAUGAAAUGAAUGAUAAUUCAAAAUUCAGCUUAAUGAAUUAAUAAAAUGCUUUAAUACAAAACAUGUAGAGAUGAUUGAGGCAAAACAUAAAGAUGAGAACUUCCUGACUUAAAUUUGCAUGUAAAUAAAACAAAAGAAAGCAAUAUAUAUAGUAACAGUAAAGGAAGAUCUAUCAUAAGUUUUAGUAAUUCUAAGCCUAUAGAUUAGAAAAUAAAAAAGUAGAAAAGCUAGCCAUAGUAUUUGAAGAAUAGUCAUUACAAGUAUGGUAAAAAAUAUACAGCAAGUUAGAAGACAACAUAAUAUUAGAUUCUCGAUUCAAUAAUGAAGACUUAGACACUCAAUAGGAUAAAAGAAUGUCUAGAAGAACUCCAAAUGAUAGUGAUAGGAGAAGGAGAUAAUGAAGACAAUAAAUGCAUUAUUAAAAAUUGGUCUAGAAAAGUUUAUAGACAAAGAUGAAAUAAAUUUAAUUAAGAAAUAAAUACUCAGCAUUUGUAAUAAGAACUAUUAAAUCUUAUCCCAUUCUUUAAAGUUGCAACAAUUAUCUAUAUUUAUAUAUUUCAUUCAUUUUUCUAUAUGUUGAUAACCAAUUUUCCUAAAAGUUUAAGUUGUUAGGAUUUAGGCCCAUAAUGUACAUCGUGCAUGCUCUCUAACACUCUCCCUUAUACCAGUAUAUAUAUAUUUUUUUUUUCCUAUUUCAAAGUAGUGUAGAAGUUGAGUUUCGGGUUGUUGUUCAUGAAAUUUGUAAACUCAUUUGGUUGAAAAGGAUAUUAGAAGAAUUGAAGGUACCUUAUGAGAAACCUAAGAAAUUAUACAACGACAAUAAAUCAACAAUUAGCAUAGCCCACAAUCCAAUUGAACAUGAUAGAACUAGGCAUGUUGAAAUAGAUUGUCAUUUCAUUAAGGAAAAACUUGAGGGAGAUCCGGUUUGUACGUCAUAUAUUCCUACAGAAAAAUAACUAGCAAAUGUUCUAACUAAGAGCCUUUAGAAGCAGUUGUUUGAAGUUCUAGUAAGCAAGCAAAUAAAAAAUUUGAAUAAGAUUAAGAUAGCAUAAAUACUACAAACAAUAUAAUCUAAAAAAGGUAAAACAAAGCCAUACCUCUAAGGAUUAUGAAAAGAAAAAAAAUGCCAAAAUUCUAGUUCCUUUAUAUUCAAUUCUUGAGCUGAACAUAGAUCAUAGGGUUUACACACUUACAAUUGCAGCAUGCAUGGUGAGUAUAAUUUAAAUCCCAUCUGCAAAAUUCUGUAGCACAUUUGUUAAUUUACAAACUCCAGUACCACAAAAAAUUACAAGAAUAAAGAUUACCUAGAAGAGAAGCCCUGCAUUUACAAGUUUUCACCUCAACUAUAAUAAUAAAGAUUACCUAGAAGAAAAGUCCUAUGCUUCAUCACCUGCACUUAAAGAACAAGGGAUGUCCUAUAAUACCCAGAUCCCUUAACUUCACCCUGGGCACGCAUGUCUACACAACAUGACACACUAUGGGUGCAAGUAUGGGAGCUUUAUUGGAUGCUUUUGCUUUGGUUCAAAUUUGGCUAUUUGAAUUUGAAUAACUAAUUUUUUUUUCAACUUCCUUAGUAGAUAAUUAUAUUAAAAAAAAAAAAAAAAAAGAAGCUUGACAAAAGUGAACUUUUGUAAAAAUAUUUAAGAAUAAAAGAGAAAAUAUAGGGAUAAAAGAGAAAAGUUCUAUCAUUAGAUAUGUAUGUUCUUUAUUGAUAUUUAAUUAAAUUUCAUUUCUCCUUUUCCUUCCUUUUAUUAUGUUGUAUGCAAGUGUUUAUACUCAUUAUUGAGAUCUAUUUUAGCCAAACCCAAUGUUUUAAAAUUUACAAGUGUAAGAGAUCAGACACCUAAACAGAUACCUAUACUCGACACCGGCACCCAAAUCCAUGCAACAUAGCAUGUCCCAUUUCUAUAAUGUUAAGUUGUUCAAAGUUCAAACACUUAUGGGGAAAAAAAAAAAUCAAAUAAACAAAAGAGUAUAAGAUUUCAAUGGUGGAGCUCGUUGUGCUAAAAUUAAAAUUUAGACCAUAAAGAUGGAAUAUUUUACCUCAAGUAUGUGGCAUGCUGAGCAAUGAACUUAGAAUGUCAAGAUGGCUGCAAUAAUGGAGCAAUCAGAAUUUAUCAUCUGGCACAAAGCCCCUUUGCAGCAUCUCAUCAUGAACUCGAAAUGCCUCCUUCAAGUUGUUCUGUGUGACAUGUCCAUUUAUUAAUGAUGUGUAUGUGGAUCUAUCGGGAUUUACACCUCUUUCGAUCAUCUUCAACAUUAUCAGUUCAGCUUCUUGCAUUCUACCUUGUCUGGAAAACCCAUUCAAAAUGACAUUGUAUGUAAUGACAUCAGGUAACAGCCCACUGUUUUCCAUUUUAUUAACCAAGGCAAAAGCUCUGUCCAUGUUCUCUUCUUUUAUAAAUCCAUUAAUAAGAGUGUUAUAUGUAAUGCCAUCAGGAACAAUUCCUUUCAAAAGCAUAUUGCUCAAGAAUUCAUCUGCCUUUACUGCAUUCCCUGCCCGACAAUAUCCUUUUACAAUAGUGUUACAAGUGAUGAUGGUAGCCUCAAAACCUUUUUCCACCAUCUCAUCCCACAACCUGAAUGCCUCAGAUACACAGCCCAUAUUGCAGUACCCAUUAAUUAAAAUACCAUAUGAAAUAUGAUUAGGGUAGAUCCUCCUAGAAAUCAUAUCAUUCCAUAGUUCAUUAACCUUUUCCAUCUCACUGCCCUUGCAAAACCCAUCAAUCAAAGUGUUAUAUGUUACAACAUCUGGUUUUAGAUUCCUUUGAAUCAUCAUCUCAAACAAGGUUACUGCUUUAUUCAUAUUCCCAUCCUUACUGUAGCCAUUAAUAAGUGUUGUGAAAGUGUAAAAAUCAGGAAAGACACCUCUUUCAGUCAUCUCAGUAAAAAGCUCAUCUGCCUCAGAUAGCAUUUUCUCUUUGCACAAUCCAUUCAAAAUAGUAUUGUAUGUCACUACGUCUAAAACGCAACCCUGCUCGAGCAUUUCAUCACGAACCUUUAAAGCCUCUGACAUAACCCCAUUUCUACAGAAUCCACCAAUAAGAAUAGUGUAAAUCACAUUAUCUGGUGCCAAGCCAGCAUUCUUCAUAUCUCUGAAGUACUUUAACGCCUGAUCAAGACAACCAUUCUUUGACAACAACCCAAUAAGGGCACUAAAACUAACCAAAUCAGGAACUACUCCUUGACUCGGCAUUUCGUCAAAAAUCCUUUCAGCAUCCAUCAUAUUAUCAUUUCUACAACACUCAACAAGUAAAAUGUUAUAAGUAGCAGUAUCAGGACUCAUUCCGAUCUUCAACAUCUCAUCCAAAACUCCCUUUGCCCUCAAAUAUUUUCCCGUCUUACAUAAACCAUUUAUAAUAGCAUUAUAAGUGAAGACACAAGGUUUCAAACCCUUACCCGACAUUGAGUCCAUUAACUCAAAAGCCUCUUCUAGAAGCCCUUGGCGACAAUACGCAUUAAUUAGUGUAUUAUAAGUCACAACAUCCGGAAAAACUCCUUUCUCUUCCAUAUCUGAUAAAAAUGACUUAGUAUUUUCAAUUUUUUGAUUUUUACAUAAUGCGUUAAUCAUAAUAUUUAGAGUAUAAACAUUCACUUGUACCCCACUUCUAACAACUUCCUGAUAAAUUUCCCAUGCCAAGUCAACCCACCCAACCUUAACCAGCCCUCCUAGAAGACUAUUACAAGCAUUAAUCGAAACACACAACCCUUUACUUUUCAAAACCCGAAAAGCUUCGCACCCUUCUCUCAACUUCCUAGCUUGCACGUAAGUCCGGACCAACAAAUCGAAAACAAGGGGAUUCGAACCGCAAUUGCCAUAAGUCAAAACCAACGAUUCAACAAUCUCAACCCUUGAAACACCACUCUUUCUCACCAUCCUAAGAAUCACAGCCUGCGCGUCCGGCAGCCUCCUACUGCGGACCAAAAUGUGAAUCAUUGCACUGAAAGACUGCAGGGAAUGCUUAAAAUUUGGACAAUUCGAUGUAAUUGAAUCAAUAAACCUCUGACCCAAUUGCAAAUUUUCACGGCAUUUGUAUAGGACAUCGACAACAACCACCGAGUCCAAGCGAAACAGCAAAUUACGCAGAGAAUUGAGCUUACCUUGCUUGAGAUUCAAGAGAACCUUUUCCGUUAAAAACGAAUCUGACAGAGACGUUGAUUGAUUUGGGUCUUCGACCGAAGAGGGGUUUAGUGUGGUGGAAGUUUCUAGGGUUUGGAGUGCUGGAAUUCCAUAGCUAGAAUUAGGGUUAGGUGCAGACGAGAGGAGGGUUUUAGUGUGGAGAGACGAGGUUUUACGGGUUAAGGUUCUGAGAGUUGAUUUUUGAAAAAAUGACCGUUGGGUUGACAUUUGAGAAGAUGACCGUCGCAGGUUGGUGUGGAAUGGGGGAUGCUUUGUAGGGUAUGUGAAACUGGUUUAAAGACGACUCGUUUUUCACUGUUGUUUCCAGCUUCCACUGCCCGAUUCACAGGCUCUCAGCAAUGAUUCCGAUUCCCGUAGUAAAGGAAUAGUCUUUUUUUUUUCACCCUUUGUUUUUUCCUCUCCUUUUUUUUUUUUUUUUUCAUAUUUAUAAAACAUCGAAAAGACCUCGAUUUUGUAAAACUAACGAGCUUCUAUUUUUUUAAAUAAAAGAGUCACUUUUUUUUUCUUUUUUUUUUCACAUAAAUACCUUUUAAUAUUUUAAUUAUUUAAAUUACAUCUUACAAUAAUUUUAUAAAGAAUUUUUAAUAUUUAAAAAAUAAAUAAUUUUAAAUAUUAUAAAUAAUAUAAACAUUUCCUAUAAUCACAUCUGUGUUUUAAAAUAAAAAGUUAUUUUUAUAUAUAUUUAUAUAUAUAUAUAUAUAUAUGAUAUUUUUGUCUAAAAUAAAUAUAUUUAGGAUGAAAAAAAUAAAAGGUUAAAAUGAAAUUAAUUUUUUCCCUUUUAAUCAAUUAUUCCUUAUUGUCAGCGUCUAUCUUCUUUUUGUUAUUUUUCUCUCAUAUUACUUUUUCCAUAUCUGAUGACAUUUCUUUUAAUAUAUUCAAAUGUUCUCUAAUAAACCUCCUUAAUUCCAGUUUUUUUUACUCUCAUAUCUCUUAGUAUAUAUUGAUUUUAGGGAGAAUUAUCUUUUGGGGGUAGAUGGGCCCCCAAAUUAACAAAAGGUCCAUAUAACUCUUCAAAUUGAGUUGAAGGAUAUGAAAUAGUAACGGACAAAUAUACCCUUUAAGAACAUAUAUAAAAUAUUUUAUAAAAUUAAGUUAAAUAAUAUUUUUUUUCAAAAAUACUAAAUUAAAUAAAAGUAGUUUUCAAAAAUAUUAAAUUAAAUAAUAUUUUUUCAUAAAUAUUAAAUUAAUUUUUUUGAAAACUACUUUUAUUUAAUUUAGUAUUUUUGAAAAAAAAUAUUAAAUUAAAUAUUUUUUUAAAAUAUUAAAUUAAAUAAAUUUAUUUUAAAAAAAUAUUAAAUUAAAUAAAUUUAUUUUAAAAAAAUAUUAAAUUAAAUAAAUUUAUUUUAAAAAAAUAUUAAAUUACAUAAAAGUAUUUUUUAAAAAUAUUAAAUUAAAUCAAAAAUAUUAAAUUAAAUAAAAGUAUUUUUCAAAAAUAUUAAUUUUUUUUCUCAAAAUCAACAAAGGGCAUUUUUAGAAAUAUUGAAGGAUGAUAUCCUUCAACUCAAUUUCCAUACUUUCAUUGGGUCUUGGGCUCAAUUUGAAGAGUUACAUGAACCUUUUGUUAAUUUGGGGGCCCAUCUACCCCUAAAACAUAAUUCUCCCUUGAUUUUAACCAUUUUUUGUUCACAUUAAAAUAAUAAUAUAUAAUAAAUAGUUAAUAAUAAUAAAUUAAAUAAAACCAUAAAUAUAUAAUGAACAAAAAUAAAAAUAUUAUUUAACAAAUAAUAUACUUCAUGAUUUUAAAUAUUAAUUUUAAUAUGAAAAUUUUAAAAUAAAUAUAAAAAUAAUAUAAAUAAUAAAAUAGUAUUGACUACUAUUUUAUGUUGUCUAUAACAUUAAGCCUCAUACAUAGUGAUUCUGACCAAGAAAAACUAAAGAAGAGUCAUUAUAACUUUUAUAGUAUUUCGAGUAUCGUCCUUACUGAUUAACUUAUAGAAUUUGUCAAACUAGGUCUAAAAUAUUACUUUAAUCAAAUUCUUUAAAUUGAAAAUAUUUGAAAAUCUAUUUGAAUAAAAAAUAAGCUUGCUAAAUAAAUUUAAAUUUAAAAUGAAAUAGUAUAUAUAUAUAAGUGUUCAAUAAUGAGAUUUCCAUAAUCUAACUUUAGGUUUAAGCCUUUAAGUGAAAUAAGAGUAUUUAUUUACAUAAAUCCGAUGAUAUUCAAAAGGUCAGCUAAACAAGAUGAACCUAAAUAACUUUAGGGUUGCAUUUGUCUUCUUAGUGUAACAUUUCAUUUUAUUUUGAAUUAUCUAUUAGAUGAAUGGAAUUGAGAUGUUGGUUUAAGUCUAUGAUUUGUAGGUAUUUAUCACUUCAUAUGGAUUUACCUUAAAAAAUGUAACAAUUGUUAAAUCUUAAAUAACUAUAAACCAAGGAUUACUAAAAAAAACCCUAAUAUUAGAAGUAUGUCUUUAAUCAAUCAUUCAUUCCAUUAUUGAGUUCAAUUUCUCGUUGUUUUCUUACAAGCCUUAACCCUAAGUUUUCAUAUUUUACACCUUAAGAAAACUUUUUAGCCUCUUAUGGACGUGUUUUCACAAGCAUAAUCCAUUAAAGAAAAAAAAAAAGCAUUCUUAAAAAUUAAAUAAAUAAAAAAUAAUAAAUUAAUUAAUAAUAAUGGAAAGGAGAACAAACCAAUGUCUUGACCAUGUCUUCUUUUAUCCAACCUAAAAAAAAUCCAAAUCUCCCCUAAAAACCUUAGAAUUGAGUUUUUAUAGUUUCCACUGAAAACCCUAACGCGUGACAUGUUUUUAUUGGCCACUUAUUUUACAAAUAAUUAUAUAAAUUUGAUUAAAAAUAAUAAAAAUCAUGAUUUUUAGUCAUAUAUGGCCCACUUAAGGCAGAUAGAGUACUCAAGAUGUAAUUUCGAAAUAGAGGAAACGAAACAUCAAAACGCUAGUGUGUGAUUUCGAAUUCAUAAGUUGAAUUUCUCGAAAUCAUUUCAAAAUGACCCUUCAACUUUACACCGUUGUUUUCAAAUUAUCAUAACUUCUUUGUUUCAAAUUUAUGCACUAUUUAAAACAUUAGACUGUUGAUUUCCCAAGGUUCAAAAGGAUAUAUAACUUGUCUAAAUUUGACCUCUAGAAGUACCCUAGUUUUUACCUUAACGUUAGAGUAUGUGUUGUUGUCAUAUUCUGAGUUUUAAAUUUCCAUGUGAACUUUAUUGCAUUUGCUUCAAACCUUCUUUAUUAUGAUUGUUUGCUCUCUAUCUCAUUCCAUGACAUCCAUUGUUAGUAUUUCAUGCCUAUGAGUUGCUCAUCAUGCCCUUUAUUGGAUUCUUCAUGGUUCAUAAGUCUUUGAGUAUCUCAGUUAUGCAUGUUUAACUUCUUCUACUUUAUUGGAUGAUAAUGACUUUUACACUUAUCAUUUUUUUUCAUCCCUUAAACCUAGAAUAAAAUAAAAUUCAGAACUAUAACCAAAGCCUUAAGAUCAAUUUGAUUUAAGUUGAAUGACUUAAGUUUUUUAUAUCACAUAAAUUAUAUUAUAUAUGUGCUAUUAGAGCACAUAUUUUGGUUUCAAUCAAGUAUUACAAAAAUAUUUUUACUUUUACAUGUAAUAAGAUUUACAAAAAAAAAUAAAAUUAUUUGACAGUAAUAUAGAAAAUCUUAUACCAUAAACCUCUAAAUGAUAAAAUACAAUUUUUAAAUUUAAACCUUAAACUAUCAAAUGUAUUAUUAUAAUUAAUAUUUAAAAUCAUCAAAUAUACUAUUUGUGAGAUAAUAUUUUCAUUUUAGUUCAUUGUAUAUAUAUGUUUUUUAUUUCAUUUGUUAUUAUUAUCUAUUUAUUAUAUAAUUAUUUUAACUUUAAUGUGUCCAAUAAUGAUUAAAACUAAUAAAUAUGGAGAGAUGAUAGAGUAAAAAAAAAAAUGAAAUUAAAGAGGUUUUACAAGAAAAUACAUGAAUGAGGACAUAACAAAAGAGCGUCAACCAAAAAGACAGGAUAUAAGAAAACCAUAAAUUGAAAAAAACAUUAUUAUUUUUAUUGAAGGUUUUUUUUUUUUUUUUAAAAAAAAAGUUUUAUUGAUCAUUUAAAAGGAUAUAUAGUGAAUAUUAGUAAGAUGACAAAGUCAUUUUAGGGGAAAAAAAAAGUCUACAAACACUUCGGUUUUAUAUAUUGUAUAUAUGGAUUAAAAUAGAAUUUAAUAAUUAAAAUAAAUAAUAUGUUAUUUAAAUUACCAAUAAAUAUUGUGUUUGUAUUUAAAAAUACAAAAAAAGCUAUAUCUUUUUGUAUAAGGUUUUCUAAUUUUGUACAAAAGUUAUUACUAUUUGGUAUUUUUGAAAAUACAAAAUAAGAAAUAUAUCAUAAAUAAAAUUGCAUUUUAUAAAGGUAAUUAUUAUUCUUAGCUUUAAUAAGAAAUAUAUUAUAAAUGAGAUGGUUUUAAGAAUAAGAACAAGAAUCAUAAAUAUGAUAUCAAUCAAUUGAUAAUAUUUGUAAAUAUAUCAUAUUAUGUAGUAUAUAUGAUAGAUAAUAUAUUGUAAUAUAUAUAAAUUUAUUAUUUAUUUUUAUUUGUUUUUUUUAUAUUUUUAUAAUUAAUUUAGUGGGUGUUUGGUAAACAAAUUUAAUAAUUUAAAUUGACUUAAUAACUUAAUUUAAGUUAUUAAAUAAAUUAAAUAUGUUUGGUAAAAUAAUUUAAUAACGUAAUUUAAAGUCAAAAACAAUUUUAAGUAAUAGGUAAAAAUAAUUAACUUAUUUUUAAGUUUAUAUAUUUAUUUUAUUUUUUUACUUUUAUUUACUAUAGUUACCUUUACAUUUCUUUUGUUACUUUAGGACCUUUAUUGCUUACUUGAUCUCCUUUAACCUAGUUAUAAUUUAUGAAGAUAAAUAUGUCAAUUUUAUAAAUUAAAAUAAGUUUUAAAUUAAUUUUAUCAAACAACAUUAAUAUUUAAAGUAAAAAAUUAAGUAUAAAUUUUAAGUUAACAACUUAAGUAUAAUUUAACUUAAAAUCAGCUUAAAUUAUUAAGUAGUAAGUUUUAUAAAACACCUAAUUAAUUACUACAUAUUUUAAACAAAAUCAAUUGAAUAUAUAUUUAAGAAAAGACACGAAUACGUAUGACACUAAACAUAAAAAAAUUGAACUUAAAAAGGAAUAUAUAUUCAAAAUUAAACAUGAAGAGAAAUUUCACUAGAUUUGUUACUUAACUUAUCUUUCUUUUUUUCCUCUGUAUGUAGCACCCAAUCCCCCUAGCCCUUCUAUUGAUCUUAUCUUAUGCAUCGUUUUACCUUUUUAAAACGCCUAAUGUGAAUUGACAUAUGUAAUUUAAAUUUAAAAAUAAAAGGAAUAAUUCUAAAAAUUAAUCUUAAUUAGGAAAAUAAUUUUAAAUAAUAAAAAUUAAAUUUGAAGUCUCUUUGUUUUCAUUUUUUUACCAUACAUUUUCGUAAAAAAUUUUGUGAAUAUAAUUUAAUUUUUUCAUUUAUUUAGAGUAAAAGGACAAAUAUUAUCUAAAUUAAAAUUUUAUUACAUAAAUUCAUCAUAAUAAAAAACUCAAUUUUUUAGAAUAAUUUUUUCAUUUUUUAUAAAUUUUUUUUGCAAUACCAUUGAUAUUAUUGGUAUCAAGAAGUGUCAAGACUCUAUUUAGCCCUCGACCUGUGACUCCUUUUUGUCGAAAAUUAGAGUGUUUGAGAUAUUUUGUCUAGGUGACAUUACCAUGACAAAAAAUGAUGUUUUAAAAUUUUAAUUUUAUUCAAACAAUUUUCUAUAAAAAUCGGAUUUUACUUUCCUUUCUCUUACUGUCUGGUGUGUUGCAAUAAAAUUUGUUUUAUUGCAAAAUAAGAUAAUGGAAUUUAGGUUACUAGUGGAAGAGUGAAAAAAUAUAAGAAAAAUCAUGAGUUAACUAUUUUUGAAAAUAGUUAUUUGAUUUUUAUAGAAUAAAAGUCUAUUUGAAAAUUUAAAAUAUUAUUUUAAAUUAUUUUUUUUAAUAAUUAAAAAUAAAAUAUUAUAUAUAAAAAUUAUCUGUAAGAAAUAUUUCAAAAUACAAGAAAAAAAAAUUCAAAGUUUUCAAAUAUAUUUUUAUUUUAGAAAAUAUCAUGAGACUAUUCUCAUAUAUUAUUUUUUGACAACUAUUAUUAAAAAAUGUUCUUAAACAUACCCUUAUCUUUGUCUAACAUUCCUUGUAAAAAAGUUUCAAUUAUGGGAAAUUACAAAUUUUCCAUUGCGGAAAAAAAAGGGCUUUUAGGUUGAGAAGAACUGAAAAUUAACUCAAAUAUGGGAAAUAAAUCAGAUGAUAUGGCAGGAGAGAUAUUUUUCAAUGCCGACGUGGCGAGAACUGAUUGGUUAUUAAAACGCAUCAGACGUGGCUCCCUUAUAUUUGCCAAUUCGGGUCACACUUACGUGGCCGGUGUGGUGCACCUUAAUUUCACUACACCACAACAGUCUUGUCCAAUCAAUUCGCACCACGUUGCAGAAACAAAAUUGAAGAUCAGCCCCUCGAUUUCCUAUUGGACCGUCACAAGUGAUUGUCACCGCUCUAAAUAGUAACUGCCACCGGCCCAUGGACACUGCCCGGUAAAACCCUAUCCCUGCAAGAGAACAAAAUUCUUUCAUUUCUCUCUCUUCACGACGGCAUCUCCGAUCCGUAUGGUCAACAUACAGUAGAGAGAGAAACUGUGCGAUCGUCUGUCUCUCUCUCUCCUCAGGUUCUUCUCCCAAUCUUUCUCUUUUUAGUAGUUUGUGUUUCGUUUUUAUUCGGAGAUCGGAAAAUGCCCUGGCACUCUCUCGUUUGGUUUCCGAGAAACGGAGAGGAGCGUUUGAGUCAUGUGCUUUUGAUUGGGCCGGAAUUGAGUGGAAUACUUGUAUUAGGGUUGCUUGACUGGGGAUUUUAUGAUUUCUUGUGUCCGGAGCGAUGAAUUUAUAGGAUUUGGCGUUUAGCCUAUUCCAUUUUCACGCCUUUUAUCGGUUACGGACUUGGGGGUUGGGGGGUUUGGGUUUUCUUCCUGGUGAAGAUAUGAAAAAAAAUUCGAUGUCUUGAUUUCUCCAAGAAACGGAAAGUGGGCCCGAAUUGAGCAAGUGGGAAUUUCUAGGAUUCCGAAUUUUUAUUUUCUUUUAGCUGUCUUGCCUCCAAAGAGGGAGGCGUGGAUCCCAUUGUAAGGAAUCGGUGUUUUAUUUUUCUUGAAGCUUUCUUGUUGUGAGUAUUGUUACUAUUAUUCUUUUUUUUUUUGAAAUUUUGAUUGAUGGUUUGAUUUGUUGGAUGUCAGGUAUUGGGAGUUUAGGAAGAAAGAUAGCAUCUUGGAAAAGAUUUCUGUUUCAUCAUUGAAGCGGGUUUUGAUUUUGUAAUUUUGAUUUCAGCCAUCAGGUAGGCGGUGAUUGGUUGAGUUUUUGCUAAGAAAGAGGCAAUUGGAAUAGGUACAAUGAAGAACUGUGAACGUCUUGCCAAUCUUGGUCUAGCAGGUUUGUUCCUAUGCCCCAUCUGACCAUGUCGGUAUGAGAUUGUGGCAGAUAAUAGCGUGAUUGUAUUUAUCUAAUUUUAUGUUAACUAGAAUGAGUUGAAGAAUUUUGUAACAUGGUUGUAACGGAAAAGAAAGUGAAACUAUAUCUUGAAACUCCAAGUUGGAGUGAAUUUGCCUUUGCCCACUUCACUUCCAUUAUGAGAAAGCGGACUUUUUCGAAGAGGGGAUCAUCCUAGAUACCACUUAGGAGUCCAGAGGGUAAUGCUGCCAUGCUUUAUGCUCAUUAAAGAGAAGUCAGAUCUUUCCAAUUUCCUCAUUUCUAAUGGUUGUGUAUAAAAGAAAGGUGUUCUAAUGGUAAUCGAGUGUAUCUUUCAAUUGUGUGGCUUCUUAUAUUGCAAAAAACAUUGGUGUUUCUGGUAUUUCUUAAAAAAUGAGUUCAGUCUGAUGCUUAUUUUGAGAUAAAUUUGUGAAAAAUUGCACUAGAGAGUUUUACUGCUUCAACCCCCCCCCCCCCCCCUCUCCCCUUAAAAUUGGUGGCUAAUUUUCUUUGGCAUCUCUUCUUCCUUCUCUUCCUCUGUGGCAUCUUCUGCUUAUAUGUGGUUAAGUAAUUUCUUUUGUACUUCUUUUUAUGCAUCCAUUUGCCCUAUGCGUGUGAUGUUGAUCUGUUUUGUUGUAUAAGAAAGAGGCCUACACUAAUGGCUCCUUUAUAUGUUUAUGAUGGCUUUCCUCCUCUUCGACAGUUGAAGCAAAUUUUAUUAGGCAUGCCUAACCCAUGUGUGUAGGCCUUGUGUGAACACCAUUUGAAAAAUAGCUUGAGAUGCAAAUUUGAUUAAUAUGUUCUCACAUGCCAAUUGCAAGAGAGAAAAAAACAAGACUUUGAUAGGUUUUAGUGCUCUAUUGACUUCAUGUUCUGGAGUGAAAUUGUUUGUGGGUUUCAUAACAUGUGUGCCUUGUCUGAGUUGGGUGCCUCCUUUGUAAAUCUAGUAGCUCUAAUCAGACUGAUGUGUAGAGCUGCAUAUCACAGUUUAGAAGGAGAGCUGACCAUAGCUAUACAUUUUUUUUAUUUAUAUACAUAUAUAUACUAAAGCACUAUUGUCUCACCUUUUUAAAAGCAUCUCUUUGGAAGGGCCAGAAUUGGGAGGAAAAGGAAAGGAUUUUCACUAAAUCAUUUCCUUACUUUCUCAUUAAAAAUUUCCUUCCCUUUUUUAUUUGCCUUUAAAAUGAAAUUCCUUCCUUCUGUUGGGUGCUAGUGGAACCAUUAAAAAUAAAUUACUGAGAAGGAUUUGGAUGAUGAUCCUGCCAUUUUCAAAUAUGCUCAAAUGUUUGUGGAUUUGGAUGGAAAGAAAGCUUUUUAAGUGAAAGAACCUUUUUUUUUUCUCACUUAAAUAUUUUACUUCUGUUUGUUUAAUAACAUAGGGGUAAUAGUGUCAAUAACCAGUUCCCUCUGCUCUUAAAUCAUUCCCAAACAGGAGAAAUCAUCCUGUCUCUUCCUUUGAUUCCAGUUAUUUCCUUCCUGACUAUCUAUUAUUUUAAAGCUCAUCUUGGGUCAAAUAUGUACCCACGUACUGCCCUGCAUAUGAACAAAUGCGUUUAACUUGAUUGCCACUGCUUGGCUACAUAUGUUUGAAUGUCCUUAACUAUAUAGUACCUCGAUGCUUUUGGGCCUUUUAUGGUACUAUCGGUUAGAAUUUUCAAUACCAGCCCCCAUUGCACUAAACCUUUUUCUGCUUCUCAUUGUUUGGAGGUUGGAGUUGCUAUGUUCAAUUGGUAUCAUUUAUUAAUCUUGAAGGAAAUAAAACAUCUAACAGCUUUGUAAUAUCGUCAAAUUUUCCUUGCUAAGUGCAAUGGUUAGAUGGGGAGUAUGUUCACAAUUUUGUGCUGUUAAUUUUUCUUUUCUUUUUUUUUUUUGAUUGGCAAAUAAGAAUAUAUAUGUAUGUAUGUAUGUAUGCAUGCAUGUAUGUAUAUAGACACACAUACUUAUGUAAGGAAAGUUCCAAACUAAAGUGGCGAACACAGUACACUGGAACUGUGCAAGUGAGACACAAAAGAAUCAAGCUAUGUUAGCUACAACCCUACUUUAGGACUUGGAACAUAACCAUUCUAUAAAAUCUAACAAAGAACAUGGACCCAUUUGACCAUCAAUUAGAAGGUACCCAGGAGACCACAUGUCAGGUUAGCAAUGAUGGAGAUAAUGUUUAAAGUUCAGUGUGGAGCUAUCACUGGGAGAUAAUGUAGCUAUUAUUUCAACAUUUGACAUGGUUGUAAUAGUUUCCAAUGAUCCAUAUCUUGAAUUUGUUUAUGUGAUAGUGCAUUUCUUGUUUCCCAUUUUUGAGUAUGACUUUUGAUGCGUGUACACUUUUCUGGCUGCAGGUUUAACAUUGGCGCCACUGGUUAUGAAGGUAGAUCCAAAUUUAAAUGUCAUUUUAACAGCAUGUCUCACAGUGUAUGUAGGUUGCUACCGCUCUGUUAAGCCAACUCCCCCUUCUGUAAGAACAAUUAGCCAAGUUCCUGCCUUUCUUAUUUCUAUGCCAUAUUUUUCAUGAUUCUGGAAAGCCUGUCCGAAUUUUGAUAUGUUCAUUCAUGCAGGAGACAAUGUCUAAUGAACAUGCUAUGCGCUUUCCUUUUGUUGGGAGUGCAAUGCUGUUAUCACUAUUCCUUCUCUUCAAGUUUCUAUCAAAAGACUUGGUUAAUGCUGUACUGACAUGCUACUUCUUUGUGCUUGGGAUCAUCGCUCUUUCGUAUGUUCUUUCCGUAUGGAUCAUGCUACUAUGCUUAAUAUUUGAUAUAAUUAUUUAGAAAUAGUUUCAUGUGGUUUGGUUCAUUAUCUCACAUUAUCUUUCUUCUAUUUUCUGUAGGGCAACAUUGCUACCUGCAAUUAGACGUUAUUUGCCAAAGCAUUGGAAUGAUGACCCUAUCAUCUGGCAUUUUCCAUAUUUUCGCUGUAUGAUGUGCUUAUUCUCCUUUAGUUUCCAAGUGCUUAUUGUGAAUUCUUUUCCUAUUAAUUCAAAACCCCAUUUCUUUUUUUAUUAAAGUUGUCAGUGUUGCUCUAUUAUGGUUUUUAACAUAUUUGAGCAAGAAAAGCUUUAUUCAGGCUGAACCAAAAGAGUACAGAAUGUUCUAAUAUCUUGAGCAUUUCCCCUUGCAUCCACCAAUGCAUGGUGGCUAAUAUGUCAAUGGCUUCUGCUUGCAUUUUCAGUCCUGUUUCUGUUGUUUUCCUGUGUACCUCUUGUUUGCCUGCACUUCUUAAGCCUUAAUUACUGUUUCUAAAAGUAAAAGAGCAGGAAUUAUAGAAAGCAUGUUUGAUUCUAGUCUUCUAGCUAGGUAAAAGAAAUAAAAGAAAAGGGAAAAGAAGUUUUUGGAAAUAGCGUACAAGAUUUACCAAACACUACCAGGUCCUAUUUGUGGCUUUAUUAAAAUUUUACUGGGGGUUUCAUAGCUGCCCCUGUGGAAGGGUUUUGUAUGCAUUAUUUUGUUUUAUUUCUCUUUUGUGGUGGGCAUGGGGGAGCUAUCCUAACCACUUUGUGCGUUAUUUAGUUGAGAGGAACUCCAACUGUGGGAGAAUAUUUAUUUUCUCACAUCUCUUUGGAUGUUACACUUUGUAUUGCUGGAUUAGAGAUCAUUCUGCCUCACACAUUGGAGAGUCAUGUGGGUUGAGUGGGUUCCCCUGCUGGUUGGCACCCUGAAAAUAAACUUUGAUCCUUGGUUAACUUGUGUUGGAUGGGGAUUGGUGGCUCAUUUGAGAUCAUAAGGUGACAUCAUUCAAGUUCUCUCAAGUAGUCACUUUGUUUAUCCAUUUGAGAGGUUUGUAAAGGACAAGAGAAUUAAGCACCCCCCACCUUGUUGUGGAGAUGAUUCAACAAGAAUCUUAGCUGCUAAAGGUAGGUAGGCCCAGGGCGCAACAACUACCUUGAUGUGGUGUCUUGCAUGGUGAGGCAUGUGUUUUUAUAUAUAUAUUUAUUUAAGCUCAGGGCAAAAUGACAAAAUCAUGUCAGCAUGCAAAAAGUGUUUUUAUUUUCCUCUGAUUUCUAAGUUUUUUAGUGCUCAUUUUGUGUUUUUUUUUUCUUUUUUUCUUUUAAAUUUUAUUCUUAAAAUUAUUGAAUAUAUUGUUAUUUUGAUGGAUGCUUUUUUUUUUUCAAAUACUUGGAAUCUUUAUUUAUUUAUAUUUAUAUAUAUUUAUUUACUUUUGAGUAGAAUUUUAUAUCAUAUGUGAUGAUAUAUGAGUAUAAUAAAUGUUUGCAUGUUGGAAAAAAUGAGUUUUGGCUCCAAGUGGAUUAGACAGUGCAUCUUUACAAUGCGUUUCUCUAUCUUGGUCAAUAGUUCCUUCAGGUUUCUUCCAAAGCUCUAGGAGUUUGAGACAAGAAGAUCCUUUGUCCCCUUAUUUGUUCAUCUUGGCGAUGGAGACUCUCUCUUGCAUUCUUUUGAGGGCAAAGGAGGGAGGGUUUAUUGAUGGCUUUCUAGUAAGGGGAAGAGAUGGAGAGGGGAUGGAGAUUUCCCAUUUGUUAUUUGCGGACAAUACUCUCAUUUUUUGUGAUGCUAGUAAGGAGAACAUUGAGUAAGAAUAAAACAGGUUUUUAGGUGGGGUUUGGGGAUAAAGUGAAGUUUUAGAAGGACAAGUGGUGUGGGGAUGCGCCCUUGAGGGAUUCAUUUUUGGAUUUCUAUUCUAUAGCUACCUCAAAAGAUGCUUGGUUGAGUGACCUUUGGGUUUAGGAAUCCUAGGUUUACAAGGUAGUUGCAUGAUUGGGAACUAGAGGAAGUAGAAGCCUUUUUUGGGAGGUUGUUUGCACACACCAUUUUUGUGAAGAUUGACGAUGGUAUGGUAUGGUUGCCUUUAAAGAAUGCUACUUUUUCAUUUCAGUCCCUCUACUCCUCUUGGCAAAUAGGAGAGCGGAGUCAUUCCCUCUUGGCAUAGUUUGGAAUUUUUGGGUUUCAUCGAGAAUUAGUUUUUUUUACUUGGGAAACAAUUUGGGCUAAGAUUUUGACUCUAGAUUAGCUUGAAAGGAGAGAUUGGAGGAUUCCUAAUAGAUGUUACUUGUGUAACGGAAAAGAAGAAACAAGUGAUCGUAUUCUCUUUCAUUGUUCGAAAGCUCGCUUAUUGUGACAAUUGUUUUUUGUGCUUUUUGGUGUCUAACGGGUGAUGCACUCUUUAGUUAGAGAGGUCCUUUUGAGCUAUCACAGGUCCUCUUUGGGUAAAAAGAGAAAAAAGGCUUGGAAGGUUGUUCUGUUGUAUUUAUUUCAGACCUUAUGGAGGGAGAGGAAUAGGAGAACUUUUGAUAGUUGUGAAAGUUCGAACCUAACAAUUAAAAAUUAUUUCUUGUAUCAUUUUGGGAUUGGGUUAAAUUGUAUAUUGGGGAUGGUUCUUUGAUGUUGUUAGACUUUGUGGAUUGGUUAGGCUCUUCGUAAGGUGUGGUUGUUGGUUUUUGUGUCUUCGCGCCUCUUUUUUGGCCUUUGGUUUACUUUGUAUACAUUGUGUAUACCUCUCUUUUAUUAAUACUCAUUAUCUACCUAUUAAAAAAAUGUUUGCAUGUUUGAAUUUGCAACAUAUGACAAAAUUAAAUAUGCACCCUAGGUUGCAUAUUUAAUUUUGUAGGUUGUUAUUCUCUUGGAAGGUUUGGUCAGUAAAUCAACAAGUCAAUAGGUUGGUUAUUGGGGGAUCAAUCUCUCUUGUUAACUUGUUGGGGAUUUUUGGCUUUGGGAGUUUGGUUGCCCAUCCUUUCACCUUUGAUGUAUUUGAUGGAUCUUUUCUGGAUGUUUUGAUGGUUGGGAUCCAUUUCUGGCCUUUUUUGCCCCUAUUGUAGCCUUAUUUUGUUGGGUGUUCCCAUAUACUUCCCUUUGUGUCAAAGAUUUGGUUCACUUUCAGCGUCACUUUUUAUUUUUAUUUUUUUAUUUAUUGUUUGUUUGGGGUGGGGGUGUGUGGUGAUAUUUGCCUAUUGAGGAAGAGAAAAAGGUUGUUCUUCUUUGGAAUAUUUGCCGGCUGUUUUAUUUUUUUAUUUUUUUUUAUAAGGUUAGCAAAAGGAAUAUCUUGGACAUAAGGAAAGAAAAAGGUACUUAGAUUACAUCAGUAUGGAAAUUUGUUUAAUAAAUCAAUGAUCUGCAUUUCCUACCUAUUAAAACAUUCUUUCUACAAAAUUUCUGAACUGUUGGGUAACUUGGGUUAUUAGUUGGAUUUUGAAUUUAUGCAAUUCCAUCUGUUUUUCUAUCCAUAUUGCUGGGGUUUAUUGCUUUAAAAAGAGGGGGAGAAAAUCUUAGUGUAAUCUUGUCAAAGUUUCAGAAAAGAGGGAAAAAUAAAAGAAAAAUUGGUGCAUCUUUAUUUUUUCUAAUCACAACUCAUAUGGCAUAAUUCAAUACUUCUGCGGAUAUGCCAGUUUUUCUCAAGCUUUGUUUCCAUUAUUUCGUCACAUAUGGCAGACUGGUAGAACAGUUAGCCUUUUGUUUGGGUGUCCUUGGUGUGAAAUUUGUUUCUGUCAUCAUAACUUGACCCUUCUUGUGCUCAAAUUAGCAGAGGAUAUGGCCUUGGAUCAUUCUGAGUGGUAAAAAAGGAUUUUUAUAGUCAGUCUUUAAGUCUUAUGUAGUCGAGACUUAAUUUUAAAGAUUUGUUCGUUUGAUGAUUUUAUUGUUGUUCUGCUUCUCGUAUGUAUUCCUUUAUUCUUUCCACAUCUCUCAAUUUUCAUUUUAGUGGUUUUAUUUUUCCUCAAUUACGCAGAAUGAUAUUUUUCUUUACAUCUGUCUUACACAGCUUUGGAGAUUGAGUUCACAAGAUCUCAGAUCGUUGCAGCAAUACCAGGGACCUUUUUCUGUGCAUGGUAUGCUUCCCAGAAGCAUUGGCUAGCCAACAAUAUAUUGGGCCUCGCUUUCUGCAUUCAGGUUUGGCAGCUGUAUUUCAUCAGAACCAUUGUUACAUUGGAUGUCUCCAUUUGCUAGCAUGAACCUAUUCAUAUUAGUUUUGGGUUACUUAUUUUUACCAUAUGGUAAUCCCCAGCACUAUCCAACAGGGUUUUGGGGUAUAGGACUAACAACUAGGAAUAGUUUUCCCUUUGUCUUAUGCUUUUACUAUUCCGUUACCCUUCUUGUCUUUUCAUUUUCAUAACCUACUGGAUAAUUAUGUCUUUUUCACAUCAAAACCCCAUAGAGAGGUCUUGAUUUUCCCAAACUUCCGACUUCUUGUGUGUUUCUGGUAAGGAGAAAUAAGAAAGGGGGCCUUUCCUAAGACAUUCUUAUGCCUUUUAUGUUAUAACAAUUUCUGUUAUCCUCAUUUGUUUGUUUGAGCUAUAGUCAUCUGCAAUGCACUGUUAAUCUGUAUUUUAUUUUCUUUUCCAUUUGCAGGGUAUUGAAAUGCUCUCACUUGGGUCUUUUAAAACUGGUGCCAUCCUUUUGGUAAGAACCUUAAACUAGAGAUGGCUUUAUCAGUAGUUGCAGAAUCUGUUCUUGAUUAAUCAUGCCAUUUAUUCCACAAUGUUUGUUCUUGGUGUAUACUGAUAAUUCUUUUUUACAUUUUUGGUAAGGGGGCUUACUUUAUAGGAAACAUUGUAAGAAGUUAUUUUAUGUCUGUGAAUUGGUUAUUUAUGAUAAAAAAAGGAAAAAAAGAAAAAGAAAAAGUCAAAAUAGAAACCAUCAGUCUUUAACUAUUGAAACCUGCAAUUUCUGAAAGAUCCUGCUUAUCAUUGUCUUUAAUUAAGGGUUUUAUGGGCAAAGCACCUUCCAUUUUCUGAUUUUGGAUAAAUUUAUGCUGUGGUAUAUUUUGAUGAUAUUUCUUGCUGAAAUAGUGAUGUAUGAUAUUUUUAUAACAAGACUAAGUUAUUCAAAUUGUUUAGAUGGUUGUGUGUGAGAACCUCAUCAACUAUUUACCAAAUUUUGUCCUGAUCAAUGCAAGGGGAAACAUUUAAAACAGUUGUGAGAAAACAAUGUUUAGUGACAGUGGAUACCAUCAGAUAGUGGUUCAUGACCUAAGCCUUCUUUAAUGCUUUACUACUGGUUACUGGAUUAUUAUUAUUAUUAUUUUCUUUUAUGUUGACAUGGUUUGUUAUAUAUACUGAUACAUCACAAUUUUGCUGGUAAUUAGCUGCUCUCAAUAGGAAUAUAAUGAUAGCAGCUGGACUGAAUAGCUUAUUACCUGCACUGUGUAGCUUAUAGACCAAUUUAAAUGCUAUGGGAUGUGCACACUGUGGACCUUACUACAAUUCUCCCCCUGCUCUCUCUCUCUCUCUCUUUUUCUCUCUCUCCUCUCUCUUUCUGUGCACACAUACACACAUAUGUGUAUAUUAGGUAUUCCACAUAGAAAGCUUUCUAAUGACCUAAUGAAAUAUUGAAACAAUUGACACAUUACCUCCUUACCUAUCAAACAAGGAUGUCCAUCCAAGGCUGGUUUUUUGUUGGGGAGGUUGUUUAGGGGAUGUUUAUGACAAUUGACUAACUUGUGCAAAGGAGUAGGUUUCUAGUGAAUUAAUGGUGCUUGUGCAAAUAAGAGUCAAUCAAUCACCUACUUCAUUCAUGGUGUGAUGGCUCAAAAUUACCCUAUGUUAUUUUCUAACUUUUGGGUAUCCUGGGUUCUGUAUGGACUCUGCUUGAGUCCAUGAAGAUCUGGUUUAUCCAGUUCUCAAGGUGGUUUUGUUUAUAAGAGAAGAAAAUCUGUGGAGAAUGUCUCUGCCAAAGUUUAUUUGGAGUGCCUGUGGAAGGAUCAGAGCUGGAAGAUCUUUGAAAAAUGGGAACAUUAGAGUUGAAGCUGAAAAAUACUUUCUACGAGUGUUCAUUUGUUUGGCUGAAGGAGUCUGGAGGGAAAGUGAGGCUGCCCUUUUUUAGAUUUUGUUGACAGAUUGGGAUGACCGACCUUGGUUUAUUUAUUACAUACUGUCCAUGUACCAAGGGCUGACUUUACUUCAUAGCACCCAAUCGGGCUUCAUGUAGGUAGUUAUGUAAUCUCUGCAGGAAAUAGUCCUGUGAUAAAAUCCUUGAGGGAGUAAAGCUAGAUUCCUCAUGGUCACCCAAAGAAGAAAAGAAAAAUAAAAAAAUGUAGAUAUGGAGUAAGAAAUCAAGUUUGUACCCACAAUGAAGUGAAAAAGGAAAAAAAGAAAAGAAAAAAGGAAGACACCUUGUAACCUUUUGAUUUUCAAGCACUAAUGCCUAUGACAAAAUAAAAAUGUUACCUACUAAAAAAAAUGAUUUGAAACUUGACACAGACUUUUUUUUAAAUGUCAAAACUAGUAUAUCUAGGUUAUAGUUUAGCUUCUUUAGUUUCAGGUGCAAAAGACAUCAAGGAGGGAGAAUGUUCCUCGAUAAAAAGCGCCUGAAGACUAAAUUGUGGAGCCUCUUCUAAUAUAUUUAUAUUCCUGGUAUAUUUGCUUGAUAUUGUAUCAAACCUACCGAUGUGCACUACAGCAGCCAACAUUUAGAACUGCAGUCAUGUUAACUAUCAUAAAAAGCAUCAUAUACUCAGUGAAGUGAUCCCUUUCCAAAUUAAUGUUUAAUAGGAUUUUCUCUCCAAUUUCAGUAAAAUAUCAUUUGACAGGGGCUGCCUUUUAAGCACGCUUCUGACUUCUGCUUUUCUUGUCUCACCCAAGAACUUAAACAGCUGAAUUAAACAGUGAUUUCAUUAAUCAUUUGUCUUUUUGAACGCUUGUUACUUACUAUUUUCCAGUAAAAGAGUUCUCCUGAUGCCCUUGUGAUAAGUUCUUCACUCAUUCUGAUAUUAUUAUUGGUAUCUUUCCUUUUUGGCUGCUUGUAUCAUGUGUUUAGUAUUGUAUUCAAGGUAACAUAAUGUUGAUUCUUCUUUUUUAUUCACCUUCUGUUUUAAGAAAUAUUUGUAUGCUCUUCAUAUGAUUAUGCAUUUCAGAGAAAAUUUACUUGUGGCAGAUGAGUUGAAUACUCUAAUGAGGUUUGAUGCCAGUAUUUUUGUCCCUCAUAUCUAUGCCUGUUCCUGCAUUCAGUUUGUUUGUACUUCUAAGUGAUUUUUGACAUGGGUACUUGCGAAUUGCAGGCAGGACUUUUUGUUUAUGAUAUUUUCUGGGUCUUCUUCACUCCAGUGAUGGUCAGUGUUGCAAAGUCCUUCGAUGCUCCUAUUAAGGUCAGUUAUCCAGGUCAACUGAGAUAUUAAUCCUGGAUAUUCUGGUUUUUGGUUCAAUUUAUUUCGCUCUGUUGUAAUUAAUCAUUAAGUUUAAUUUACUUUAUUAUUCUAAAUGUAAUAACAGUUCAAUUCUUUUUGCAGCUUUUGUUCCCAACAGCUGAUUCUGCCCGGCCAUUUUCCAUGCUUGGACUUGGUGACAUUGUAAUCCCUGGUAAGGUGUUUGAAAUUCAAUUUUAAAAAUAUCUUCAUUGGGUUGUCCAUUGUUUUCUGUUUGCAGAUAUAUUAGAGAAGACAUUUUUGAAGUUGGGAGUUGCAUAUUGUGAGAUUCCAGGAGAAAAAUUUUGUUCUUCUGAACCAAAUAAAUCUCAUUUCUUACUGCAGUCUACAAAUUUCAAACAAUCUGGAGUAGUGAUGUGUAUUUAUAUAUUCCAACCCCUCCAUCCCACCAAUGAUUUGUCAUUUUUCCAAGGGAAAUCAGUACUCCUCAGAGUGCUUGGUUUGUGCUUUGACACGCAACCUCAGUUGCUCACAAUACAUCACUUUGGAGGUCAAGUUUUUGAGGCUCACAACAUACGAGGAUACAUUAGUUGAUUAGAAUUUGGCAAUGCAUUUGGUGUGUGUGCCCAUUAUUCCUUUGAUCCACAGGCUCAGUUUGUAGGCAAAUAUCCUCUUGUUUUUUAAUAUAUAUUAUGUUAGGGAGAUGCUGUUGAGGUGGUUAGAAAUGGAACCAAUCAAGGCAGCUGAUGUGCUUUUGUUAAUGGUGAAAAAAUGUCCAAAACAAGUUCUGCCUGAUUUUCUAAGAAAUGUUUCUAGAUAAACAUCUCAAAAGUGAUCAUUCAGACUGCAAAUGUUUGAAUAGCUAUAAAUUGUAGCCAGUGUAUUUAUUAAAUUUUUUUUAGUUGUUAAGAAUCAUUUUGGUAAUAGGUUUAACAAAUGCCAUUCUCAGGUAGCCAAUUUAACCAUUCAAAUUUGUAAGCCCGCAACAACAAAAAGAGCCAGGGUGGGGGGUGUUGGGGUUGUGUUUGUAGUUAAUAAAGGCACUUCAAUUGAUCGUAUUAAUUUGUUUUUUCUUUGAUGCUUACCUUGAAUUGUUUUCUUUCUUUAGGCAUUUUUGUAGCAUUGGCAUUGCGAUUUGAUGUGUCCAGAGGGAAAGGGAACCAGUACUUUAAGAGUGCAUUUUUGGGAUAUACAACCGGUUUGGUUGUAACAAUUGUUGUCAUGAACUGGUUUCAAGCUGCACAGGUGACUACUACAAAAUCCAUUUCUCUAUCCUAUAUGACUGAUACGUGUGGAGAUAUAGUUCCCUUUGUUGAAUUUCAUUCAGUAUCUAGCUGGCUUUAACUGUUUAAGACCAGUGGAAGUUAGAGUAUUUCCAUGUGUGAGUUUUCUCGUGUUAUUCACUACUUGGUCCUAACUGUUAUUCUAACUUCACUUUCAGCCUGCACUUCUUUAUAUUGUACCAGCAGUUAUUGGAUUUAUGGCUGCUCAUUGCAUAUGGAAUGGCGAAGUUAAACCGGUUUGUUUGAUAACUUUACCUUAUUUUGUUUCUCCUAUUUAUAAUGUUAUUCGCAUUCCAUUUUAUAUAUAACUACAUUUCUGUCUUUCUUUGGUUGGUUGAUUUCUUGUAGACUAGGGUUGUAAGAAUAGCAUUCAUAGUCUGUAAAUACAAGUUUACUAGGGUUAUUAGCAAUGCUUCAUCAAAAGCAUCUGAAGAUGAAACUUCAAUUAUUAAAAAGGUCUAUACUUGAAUCAAAAUGGUAACUCGUUUGAAGAGUUGCUGCAGCACAACUAACAAACACCCUUUGGAUUUUGUUGGAUUUUUUGGGUUGGGAAGACUUGGGUAUUUUCUUUGGCUUGAGAGUAGGAUUAUUGUCAUUUCUAUUUCUGUUGCUAUCACAAUUUGUUAGCCAGCUUCCUUGAUGAAUGAUUAUCAAUUGCAUUGUGAGCUUUUGACAUGAGGUCAAGGAAUGAGGCAGUUGUAUGCCCCCCCUAGUUGUCCAAAAGAACCUAUGGUCCUACAGGGUGGGCCAUUUUUCUCCAGUCAAUGACAUGUGAAACUAUGUUAGUGUAGAUGUGUAGUAGAUUAUUGAGCUUGAGAUGUUUUAGUUGCAGAUUUGUAGAAGAAAAAUGUAAAAAGAUGUAGAAAUGGAACAAUGCAAAUGCUGGAUGGUUUUGGUAUAAUCAUUGACUUGAAAUAUAGGCCUGUAGAGAACACAUGUGGGAAUUUUUUUCAACUAUGUUUAGAAAUUGAUUGAUUGGAAUAUUGGUAGUAGAUAUUAGAACUCGAUAAAGGUUGUUGCUUGCUACUUCUGUAUUUGAUAUUGGUAGUCUUUUUAUGCUAAUAAUUUAUUGAUGUUAUAUGCAGUUGUUGGAGUUUGAUGAAUCUAAGACUGCUAGCUCAUCAAAAGAUGAUGGUGAUGAAAAAUCAAGCAAAAAGGUGGAGUAAGUUGAAACCCUUUCCAGCUGAGGAAAGAAAUAGUGUUGUUUCCAUGGAGGAUCCAAAAGCAUUUUUAGCUAAACCAUGGGCUAACUUAUGCAACUGCUCAGAAUGCCAUUGCAACAGAUUUUGGAAUUUUAUGCGGCUAAUAAUAUAAAGUAGCAUCCAAUGACAAUACACCCAUGUUAUAUUUUCAUCUGAACUGCUCAUUUUAGCAUCUGACAGUGCCAUUGCCAAUUUUUCCUGAUGUAUCAUGUGUUUGGAAGACUCAAGACACUUAAAUUCAGUUCCAGUAUAAUACUACAUUUACGACUUUUACAAUGCUCUCAUUUACAAGCCAUUAUAUCCAGAUUCAAAUCAAAUAGUCCUACUGUGAUUAUGGCAAUUUGGUGUUCAAGGUUUUGCGGACAUUUUGUUGAGGAGCAAAAGGGUUAGAUUUGUAAAUGAAGAAGGGUAUUUAUGUAUUGAGUUUUGAUGGUUUGCUUGGGUAAUGGGCAAGGAAAUAGGGCUUAAAGUUGCAAGUGUUUGGCUUUGAUUCCCUUUACACUUUGAGAAAUGGAUUGCCUUGGAAAACAAGGUAGGAGGAGGAACUUGGAUGCUUUGGUUGGGUUUCGUGGUGCUGAAGUAUUCCCCUAUUUGGAUUCCUUUUCCAUUUUUUACUUUCAACUUUUGGGUAAAUUUGAUUGUAGAGAUCAAAUUAAUUCUCAUUUUUUUAGUUUAAUUAUUUUCUUCCACGAUCUAAAAUUCUGAAUACUAGAAAUUUAUUAGUUGAUUUUCACAGGUUAUUUACAUAAAAAAUGAUUAAUUUUUUAAUAAUGUUAAUUAAUAUUAAAACGUUAAACUCUCUAAUUCUGAGGGUACCAAAUCAACCAUUAAUAAUUUUUAAAAACAAUUAUUUUAUCUUGGAUUUUUAAAAAAAAUAAAAAGUAAAAGAAAAUAAAAAAGAAAUUUAUUAUUAAUAAAUUAUUUUUAUAUGUUUCUUCAAAUUCAUUUCACAUUUUUUUUUCUCUUUUAUAUAUAUAAUAAAUAAUAUAAAUUUCAUAAAAAUUUAACUAAUUUUAAUUAAAUUUAACUUUGUUUCCAUGUUUUUAUGAUAAACCAAAUAAAAAAAUAAUUUUUCUUAAUAUUGUUUUUAUUUGAUAAUUUUUAGAAACCAAAUAUAGCCUUAAUUUAUUCUUCAAAUUCAUGAUAAAUUCCUUAAUAUCAUAUUAAUCUAAAAUAAAUAGGUUGAUAAACUUUUGAUAGAAAAUAAUUUAUUAGGAAUCCUUGAUUGGUGCUUCAAUUGUGGCUCAUUUUCCUCUAAACAUUUUUUUCCCCUCUUUUCUCCCUAUCCUUUUCUCCAUUUAUACUUGGUUUAUAUAUACAUAUGUACAUAGACAUUACAAUAGAAUAAAAUACAAUUUUUACCCAUUACAAAUCUAAAAGUUUCAUGUAGGUCAUGCAAACUCAUCAAUCAUUUAUUUCUAUUGUUCUUCCAAGGUUUUUUUUUCCACUUUUUUUUUCCCCUUUGUUUGUUUUCACUAUAAUAGUGGGUUCUUCUAGUAAUUAGAAAGCAAAUGAGGCUAUAGAUGCAAACAAUCCAUUUCAUUUUCAUCACAACUCAGAAUCUAUACUUGUGUCCCAACUUUUGAUUAGUGAAAACUACUUAACUUGGAGCAAGGAUAUGAUUAUGGCAUUGAGUGCAAAGAAUAAAAUUGGUUUCAUUUAUGGAUUUAUUAGAAAACAUUUUUUAGCAAAUCUAACCUAUGACCUUUGGAAUCAUCGCAAUAUACUGAAAUCUUGGAGUCUCAAUUCUUUAUAUCAAGAUUUAGCCAACAAUGUUAUUUAUGUAUAUACAAGAAGUGAAAUUUGGCCUGAUAUCAAGGAACGUUUUUCUCAACUCAAUGCUCCUCGCCUAUUCCAAAUUGAAAAAGAUAUUAUCUAUCUAGGAUAAGAACAAAUAUCUGUUGUUACCUAUCAAACCUAUAUAAAAGCUUUAUGAGAUAAACUUACAAAUUUGCAAUUUUUUCUCACAUGAAAAAACUCAGCAAUAAAAAGGAAAAGAAAAAAAAAACACUAGCAGAUCACUAAUGCCAACACUAUCUCAUUCAAUUCUUGAUAGGUUUGAAUGGGUCAUAUUCUAUUAUAUGUGCUUAUCAGCCUCUUCCUAAUGUGAAUCAAGCAUAUUCUUUUAUUUUACGAGAAGAAAAACAAAGAAUGUUGUUACAAUUGUUAGGAUAGGGUCCUAAAAAGCAUAACAUGAUCUAACAGGUUUUGAUUUUAUUAAUAAAUUUGUUUAUUUAUGAUUUCGAUUCCCUUUACUAUCUUACUUGCAUUAAUUAGGUAUUCUAAGCAUUCACAUCUCUAUUACUUACAUUGUACAUGCCUUAAGUGCAUUAGGAGUUGUACAAAAAAUUCAAGUUAUGGAUUCCUUGUAUGAUGAUAAGUAGUUUACAGCCGGUUCACAAAUAUGAGUAAUCUAAUAUAGGUUAUAGUGCAUUACCUCAUGAUUGAAGGGAUGACUUGUCUUAAUCAUCAAGAUGGUUUUCCCAUGUUGAGCGCACUAGUGUGUAUAGUUACACAUUAAAACAUGACUUAUGAUGAAUUAUGAUAUUAGCUAUUGAAUAGUCAUGAUUCACCAAAUUACUAUAGUGCAUUAACUCUUAAUCUUGAAAUGAUAUUGAGCAUGUGCUAAAUUCAAUAGGAGGCUUUGACUUAUGGGUAAGACUCUAAGAUGGUUGGUCAUAUAUUUCCUAUGAAUUGAGUCACUAUUGAUGUAGGCUGGUGGGAAAAGGUAUUCUUGACAGCGGCACCAUGAUGACACAUGGGAUUGAGACAGUGUGUCAUCUUGGAUGACCUUAAGAUAGUGUGAACAAGAAAUUAUGGUUAUAGUAAUUCUUAAGUGGAAUUUGACAUAUGCUCUUUAUGAACUAGAGUAUGUUAGUUGAUUACAUAAUAGAGAGUUUGUAACUUAAGGAUUUGAGAUGUAAUCUUAAGAGGUUGAUAACACAUACUCACAUAAUAAUGGAGUGUUGAGUCAUCUUUAAAAUUAGAUUUUGAGAUAGCUAAUAUAUUUCUAUGGGUCCCAUUGGUCAUCAUUUGAGUUUCCAAUUCAUGGUGACAUAUUUGUUUGAGGGAUUUUUGAGUUUGUAAUUCAUAAGUGUGCAUAAGGAUAUUUUGAUAAAAAUACAAGAUUGUACUAGAUUUUAUGAAUGCUCUUUUUAGAUUUGACUAAUUAAUUAAUUGAAGCCCAAUAGAGUCAAUUAAUUAAUUAGGACCCAAAUGGGUUGGAUUAGGUGACCCAAGCUUAAAUUGGGAUCAAGUAACUUAAGCUCACAAAGAAGCCUAUAUAUACCCCCUUAGGGGUUUAGGGCUUCAACUUUUGCCAUUGUCAUCCAAACUCUAAAGAGAAAACCCUAUCCACAUUUCUAAAAAGAGAGAAGACCACCAUUUUCUCCUACCAAGGCCUGUUAAAAGAGAGAUUAGGUAGAAGAUUGUUAGGUUUACAAACUACCUUUAUUGGAAUGGAUUUGAUCUGGGAACAUCUAGAUCAAAGGUGUGACUUAAAAUCUCUAGAUUUACUUCUAUUAUGAUUUUUGAAUGUUAUGUUUCUACUGUGCUUUUGAUUUAAAGAGCCUUAAGAAUAGUAUACAUGCACCUUACGAGAUCCAAGGUUAGGAGAUAAAGUAAUAUGGGGUUUCUAAAAGCAACACGACAACUAAACAUUGAAACCAUUAUAUUAGCAGCAUGACAGCAAAAUCAUAUGGCAAAGAAACAAAAAAAUAAGGACCCUAAUUUCAAAGGAGCAAUCUACUCACUUGAACGAAACAAGUCACAAAAGAGCGACCUACUUAUUCUUACUACGAUUGGGUUAACCACAUAAUUAACAAGUAUUACAAACUUCACAGAUAUCUUCCUGAGCAUCACCUUCACAACAAGACUUCUCAACUUGUUGCAAACCAGGUAAGACAACAACUACUUGCCUAUGAUCAAUCUACAAACAACAAUUCUAUUGUUUCUCAUUUCGCUAUAAAACAAGCCUAACAACUCUUUGCUCAUCUCAAGCCUCAAGUCAUGGUAAAUUAAGUAUGUAGCGGUGUUUCCAUUACUCACCUCUUAAGUAUUUUUUUGAACUAUUCUUUUCAUAAUACCUCUUAAAUAUUAGAUAGUAGUGCAACAAAUCACAUUAUGAGUUUUGUUACUUUUUUCUUUGCAAUAACAUCUACUUCUUCUACUACUAUUAAGCUUUUUAAUGGUAGUUUCGCACCUAUAACCAUUAUUGGUAUUAUUUCAUCGUCUCAUUAUCUCACCCUUUGAUAAUGUCUUUUGUGUGCUUUCAUUUCAUUUUAAUCUUAUCUCAAUUAGCAAACUCACUUGUUCUUCAAAUUGUUUUCUUGUUUUUCAUUUUUUUUAAUCCAAGACCUUACCUUGAGGAAGAUGAUUGGCAAGGGUGAAGAAUGUAAUGGAUUAUAUUUUGUGCUCAGUGAUGCUACAAUAUGUAAUUCUACAUUAUCUAUUUCUUGAGUUGAUGUUUAUCAUAGACAAUUAGGACAUUUAUCUUCAAAAAAUCUGAAUUUGUUGUCAUAUUUAGUUUUUAGAAUAAAUGUUUCAGCUAUUGAUUAUUGCAAUAUUUUCCCACUUGCUAAGCAAUCGCGCUUGCCUUUUUCUCAUAGUUCUAUCUAUACUCAUGCAAUCUUUGAGAUUAUUCAUUGUAAUAUUUGGGGUCACCAUCAUAUGGAGUCUAUUUUUUGUGCACAAUAUUUUCUAGCCAUUAUUGAUGAUUAUAGUUGUAGGACUUAGGUUUAUCUUAUGUCCCAUAAAUUUGACAUUAUUCCUUUUUAUAAUCUUUUAUCAACCUUAUCGCCAAUCAAUUUGAGCAAAAAGUAAAGAAAAUUCAAUCUAGUAAUAGGGAAGAAUUUGUCAUGAAUAUUUUUUUUUCAAUAGAAUGACAUUUUUUCAUCAAACCAAUUGUGUUUACACUUUGUUGGGAUAGAGCACUGGAAAGCAUGACGUGAUAUAAUAUAUUUAAGAUUCAUUUAAAAAUCCAUUUAUUUGUGAUUCUUGUUUUCUUUUUUAUCAUAUCAUAUGCAUUAAUUACUUGUCUGAGCGUUCACGUCCUUAUCUUUUAUAUUGUACAUGACUUGGGUGUCUUGGAAGUUGCAUAAAAGAUACGAAUCAUGGAUUCUUUGUAAGAUGAUAAUAUGUUUAUUGUCGAUUUAUGGAUUUGGACAAUCCAAUAGAGACUAUAGUGCAUUGCCUUCUUAUUGGAAAAAUAACUUGUCUUAGCCAUUAGGAUGAGUUUCCUAGGGUUAGUGCACCAAUGUUUAUGGAUAUAUAUAUUGGAUAGGACUUAUGGUGAAUCAUGAUGCAAAAUUAACAAUUAUCAUAAUUCACCAAACUACUAAACUACAUGAAUUCUCAAUCUUGAGAGAGUAUUGAGUUUAUGUCAAUCUCAACAUAAAUAUUCUCAAUAAAGCACCAUGAUAUCUCAUAGGAUUUGAAACAGUGUGUCUGCUUGGGUGAUUCAAAUGCCAUGUGAUUUAGAAGAUUAUGGUCGUAACAUUUUCUUAGAGGAAAUUUGACAUAUGCUCUUUGGAGGUAGAAUAUGUUGAUUGAUCAUAUAAUAAGUAGGAUCUAGAACUCAAGGAUUUGAGAGGUAAUCUUGAUAGGUGAUAGUAUUACCUUAUUAUAUUAUGGACACUACUUCAUAAGGAGUUUGCAUGCAGUGAAUAGUAAGUCAAGGAUCCGAGAAUUCACUUCAUUAUAAUAACAUAGGAUAUUAAAAUGCAGUUGAUUUACUUUAGUGGAGUGUUGAAUCAACUUUAAAAUUGGAUUCUUAGGGAUCCGGUAUUUUCCUAUGGGUUCCAAUAGUCUCUGCUCGAGCUCCUAUUAUAAAGAGAUAUGUUUAUCGUGAGGAUUUUGGGUUUCUGGAUCAUACAUGUGUAUAAGGGUGUUUUGAUAAAUACACAAGGUUGCAUUAGAUAUUGUGACAUUUUUUUUUCUAAACCAAGCUAAUUAAUUAAUUGGAACUCAUAUAGACUAAUUAAUUAAUUAUGACUCAGGUGAGCUGAAUUAGGUGAUUUAAGCCAUUUUUGUGCUUAAGUCACUUAAGCCUAUAAGAAACCUUAUAAAUGCCUCCUUAGGGUUUAGGACUCUAAUUCUUGUUAGUCAUCUUUCAGAGAGAAAGUCUUCCUUGAGAGAGUUAGAAACCUUAGGCAUUCUUAUAGAAAGAAAAACCCACAUUGGGUAGAUGACUUUUACGAUGGUUUUUUCAAGAUCGUCGUUGGUCAAAAAUUGAUUUGGGAACAUCCAAAUCAAAGAUAUAUUUUUAUUCUCUUGAGAUAUCUUUAAAUGGGUUUUAAUGCCAUGUUUUCCGCUUAGAUAGAUUUCUAGAGAAGCUUAGAGUGUGAAAGCAUGUUCCUAUAUGAUCUAGGGUUAGGGAAUAUUGGAGAAAUCCAAGUUCCCAACACAUUCCCUUACAAAAUGGGGUUGAAUGUAAACAUCAAUAUUUUCUCAAUAUUGCCUAUGCUUUGUGAUUUCAAGCACACCUCCUUAUUCAAUUAAGAUAAUUGUACUCUUGCUAUUACAUACCUGAUUAAUAGAACCUUGUCAUUGGUUUUCUCUAGCCAAACUCCUUAUGAUUUUUUUUUUCUACAAAACCUUUGUAUUCAAACUUCAGAAUUUUUGGUUGCCUUUGUCAUGCUUCUACCCAUGCUUUGAAGAAAACUAAAUUUGGUCCACAUGCUAAAUGUUGUGUAUUUAUUAGGUAUUCAUAUGGUAAAAAGGGUUAUGAACUUUAUGAUAUAAAAAACAACACAAUCUUUGUUUCACAUGAUGUCAUUUUUAAUGAAAAUAUAUUUUUAUUCUCUCAUAUGCCUUCAACUCCUUUACGUUUGGUUCUUCUUUUACAAUAGAUGUUAUUGAUUUCCCUUCAUGAGAUGUGUCAUCACUAUCUACUUCUCCAUUGCCACUUGUGCUUCGUCAUUCUUAGCAUCCAUGUCAAAAACCCAUUUACCUACAAAAUUUCCAUUAUGGUUUGGCUACCCUUCCUAUCCAAUUAUCUUACUCGACUAGCACUCUUCUAGUAAGCACUUCUUAUCCUUUAUCUUAUUAUUUCUCAUAUUCCUCUUAUCACUCCCGCUCAUUAUGCUUUUAGUAUGUCCAUUUUAUUAUUAUUAGAGCCAAAUCCUAUAAACAUGUUAUCGAAGAUUCAAAAUGGUAUGAUCUUCUCAUUCUUUAUCUCAUUAUUUAUCAUAUUCCUCUUUCUCCUAUCCCCGUUGUGCCUUAGUAUGUCAUCAUUAUUAGAACCUAAAUCCUUUAAACAUGCCAUCCAAGAUCCAAAAUGGUGUGAUGCCAUGACUAUUGAAAUUUAUGCUAUUGAGGUUAAUAAGACAUGGAGUUUGAUUGAACUUCCUAUCGAAAAGAAUGUAAUAAGUUGCAAGUGGGUUUAUAAGAUAGAAGUAUAGGUUUGAUGGUUUGAUUUAGUGCUAUAAAGCUCAAUAUGUUACGAAAGGUUACAACUAGCAAGAAUGACUUGAUUUCCUUGAGGUCUUUGCUCCAUUUGCUAAGUUAGUCACUGUCAAAGCUCUCUUGGCUAUUGCUUCCAUUAGAAAUUAGCAUCUUCAUCACUUAGAUAUCAAUAAUGUUUUUCUUCAUGGUGACUUAGAAAUGGGAACACUCAAGUAUGCAAACUUUAUAAGUUUCUCUAUGGUCUUAAGCAAGCAUCUUGAAAAUGGUUUUCCAAAUUAUUUCAUGUUUUACUUGAUAUAGUAUAUCUUCAAUUUAAAUUUAAUUACUCUCUCUUUAGAAAGACUUCUAGUAAUUCCUUCAUUAUUCUUGUUAUUUAUGUGGAUGAUAUCUUGGUUUGUAGGAAUCAUCUUUCUAUCAUUUCAUCUCUGAAGUGAUUGCUUUACCUUGAAAGAUCUUGGUCCACUUAAAUAUUUUCUUGAACUUGAAGUUGCAAAGCUCCAAGUAUGGUAUUUAUCUUUUCCAUAGGAAAUAUGCUUUUGAUAUUUUGGAGGAUUUUGGCUUCUUUGGUUUUGGCCUACGAAAAGACAACUAUGGAACCUAACCUCUAGAAAUCCAAAAAACAACACAUGAUUUCUUGCUCUUUCGUUGAAGUAGAAUAUCAUGUGGUGGUUAUCACUUCUUGUGAAUUUCAAUGGCUUCUUUCCUUGUUCCAUGAUCUACAGAUCACCCAUCCACAACCUACCAACAUGUUUUGUGAUAACAAAGCUACUCUCCACAUUACUACAAAUCUAGUAUUCCAUGAACACACCAAGAACAUUGAAGUUGAUUGUCAUGUGGUUUGUGAAAGAAUUCAAGUUGGUUUAGUUUGUAUUGCAUAUGUUCAUACCAAGAAACAAUUAGAUGAUGUCUUUACUAAAGCUUUAGGAGCUAUUCUUUUCAUUCCCUAAUUCACAAGUUGGGUGUAUGUAACCUCCACACUUUAACUCGAGGGAGAAUGUUAGAAAUCCUUGAUUGAUGCUUUAAUUGUGGUUUAUUUUCCUUAUAACAUUUUUUCCACUUUUUCCUCCAUUAAUUUCAUCAUUUGUACUUGUUUUACAUCUAUAUAGAACAUCAGACUAAGAUAUAACUUUUGCCCAUUACAAAUCCAAAAGUUUCAUUGGUUUUUUUUUUUUUUAAAAGUUUGUUCUAAAAACCAAUGUUUUCAUAAUCGGACUGGUCAUUGAAUCAGAAAAGUUACCGAUUCACGAUUCACUGGUUGGACCGGCGGUCGAACUAGUGAUGUCAUAAAUAUAUAUUUUAUUAUUUUAUAUAUUAGAAAAAAUUAAAAAAUUCGUAAAUUUUGACAACAUCUACCAGCGGUAGAGAGGAGUACCAGCCGAAGCCGCUUUCCAACGUCGGCUUUGCCAGUUAAUAACAGUAAGGAGCUUUGCCGACUUCCAACGCCGCAGGUUGCCAGCCUAUAACAGUUUCCGAUGGACGCCAUUUGGGUGUCACGAGCGGGUGCACGUCAGGGAUAGGUGGAGCGGCACACCGGCAGCUGCUGCGGGGGGAGGACUAAGGCGGCAAGGUUUUCCAAUUUCUAGACUUAGGCAACUUGUAUACCCUUCAAAACGACAUCGUUUUGAUGCUGUAUAUAUAUAUAAAAAAAUUUAAUUGAAUCGGAUGGUUUGUCCGGUUCACCGGUUGGACUGUCAGUUUAAGCGGUUCGACCCCAGUUUGAAGUCAUUCCGGUCCAAUUGGCCGAACCGAAUCGAAACCGUGGCCGGUCCGGUUUUCAAACCAUUACUUAAAACAAAUAAUUUUUUAGAAUAAAUUUUAGGUACUUUCAUUUAUUUUUUGUAUAAUAUUUUGAGCAACAAUUGAAAAUAUAAAUAGUAAUUUCAAUUUUUGCAUUGUAAAUAAGUGAAUUGUACUUUCGCAAACCAUAAGCUAAAAAUACUACUUUUUAUACAUGAAUUUCUAAACAAAAUUUUGUUCCUAUAGACAAUUAAAAACUGUUGUUAAGAACUAUUCCCAAAAUCAUUUUUUUAGAACGUUUUUUGAAAACAUUCCUAAAUCAACCUUUAAAUUUUGUAUCUUGCCCUAAUUCCUUAAACUUGGGAAUUAGGAUUGAUAAUUAGAAUCGUGGUUGACAAAUUUUGUAAUUAGAUGUCAUUAGGUGCAAAGUACAUAUAUUUGGGCUUCAAAGUAAAUCAAAUAGAGACCAAAAAAAAAAAAAAAAUCACUUCCUUGGUACACUCGAAGGUCAUCAUUAAUUAUUCCAAUGAUGUAUAAGAAGAUCAAACAAUAGAGGAUUGUAUCAAGAAUUAUGUAUAAUAAAAAUGAGAAAGUCAAUAAAUCAUUUUUAGACGUUACUUAGAACUCAUUUAACUUAUUUUAACUCUUCUAUAUAAAAAUUUAAAUAAUAUAAAAAUAUGUAAAAUUUUAAUUUACUUUAAUUUUAUUUAUUUAUUUUUUCAUAUUUUUUAUAUUAAAGUUAAAAAUGAGAAAAUAAACUAAAAAUCCAAUAUUUCUUCUUAGAACCAAGCAUGGGUUUAAAGAAUUUGAGGUACUAUUUUUUCUUAAUAUGGUGCAUUUAGUAAUUUAAUAAAGAAGGGGAUGGUUAAGUCCAAUUGAGGAGAUGAAUAUUAGGAUUCAAAAAUGUAAUGAAAAUUCUUAUUAUUAAAUUAAAUAAAAUCUUAAAUUGAAUAAUUUACUACUCAAUCACACUAAAAAUAUUAUGAAUAGAGUGUUUUAAGCCCAUUAUAUUGCUCCAUCAAACUAAGAAAAUAUCUUGUUUUGAUUGGGAACUUUUGUUUUAUUUUAUUUUUUCUAAUUUUAAAUAUUAGGUUCUCAUUUAUGACUUGAACUUAAAUUAUGAGUAAUUAAAUAAAAAACAAGAUCAAAAUUGUUAAAUUUAUAAUAAGAAAAAAAAUUGAUGAAUAAGAAAUACAAAUGGGUCUAAAAGGAAAAUCUUAAGCUUCUACUAUUAUAUCGAGCAGGUAAUUAUUAAAAUGGGGACCAAUUAUAUUGGGUCAAGUGUAUAAAUUAUUUUUUUUAAAACAUUUAAAACAUUUCGGGUUUUUAAACAAAGUUUUGUUCUAUAAAACAUGAUAGAAGAGUUUUCAAAAAUUAUUUUUGAAAAUAGUUACCAAAUAAGCCCUUAAAUUUUUAUAUAAAAAAUGAAUUGUGCAUCCAAACCAAAAAUAAAAAUAAAAAUAAUAAAUAAAUAAAUAAAGAGGAGAAUGAAAAUGAAUAAAUAAAUAAAUAAAAAAUAAAAAAAAGGAAAGGAGAAACAGAAAUAACCAAGUGAGGAUAGCAAGAGAUAAGAAGGUAAAAGAAAGUUGAUGGAAAAAUCCAAAAUGGAAUAAAUUUUGGAAGCCACAAUGUGUCAUCAUCUUCUCUACCUGCUUGCCUUGUACCUGAAACUCCUUCUGUACCUUUCCCCUUCUGUCUCUCUCUAAAAUUCAUCGACCCUUUAUUGCAUUCUCGCUUGCCCUCGUGGGUUUCGCUUGUUGACCCAAGAAAGGCAGGGAUUUUAGAGAGACAAACCAAAGGUGGAGGCCGAAAAACCCUAGAAAUUUCACUCCAUGGAAGGUAUUAAUAUUCCUAUUCUUCAUUUCAGAUCAUGUCCGAUGUUUUCUUUUGUGAUACUUGAUGGGAUUUUGCGAAUAAUUUUCAAAUUUUGGCGUUGGAAAUUAGAAAAUUCAGUCUUUUGCAUAUGUGGGGCUGCUUGAUUGCUUGGAAGAACGAAAAAAAAUCAAAGGAAGUGGGAUUUUGAAUCUUAUAUUUUAUGUUGCUUUGGUUUCCAAAUAAUGAAAAGCUCAUGUAAGUCGUAUUAACAGCUGGGUUUUGACUUUUUCUUCCUACAUUUUCUCAGCAACCAAACAGGCGCAUCAGUUCUUUUUAAUGUUAUUUUUGGGCUGAUUUCUUCGUUAAUAGGUUGAGCAUUCUAGUAAGAAGGUUGUUUAUGUUUGGGUUUCCUGUUUUAUUUCUUAAAUUGAUUGUUUUUAAAUAUAUAUUGUAUAUUUUGUCCCAUAAUGUGAUAAUGCUAUUCUAUUUCCUAUGGAAAGGUAAAGAAAAUUAUUUUCAUUUGUCGGAUGAAUGAUUUGUGAUCCUGGACAUUUUUCUUUUUCCUAUAUGUAGGUUGUAUUUAGGUCUAUCAUAAAUUUCCGUAUUAGAAUGCAGGGCUAUUUUCUACUUGAAAUUUGUAUCAGAGUUUCUAGUUGCUUUCAUGCUUUUAUGAUGCGGCUUGACCAGCCUGUUUACUUGAUGAAUUUCAAGCCUUUUCCUUUAAUAAUUUUUUCUAGAAAAUGUUCAAGGCAAUGCUGGAUGUUGAAAAAAUUGUUAAGUAGGGUUUGUGGGUUUUUGAAUGAGGAUGUUGCACUAGCUUGUAAUUGUCAGACCUUAUUAAUAUAUUCAAGUGGGAACCAAGCACAUUGACAAACAGACGCUGGUUGAACAAGGCACAGAAAUGUAGGAUGGUAUGCUGCAUUUGCUAAUAAAGAUAUGAACUCAUGAAAUGAAUGUGAACAAACAGUUGAUCACAUUCUUUUACGUUGCGCAUCAACGGGAAUCUUGUGGCAGCUAAAUUUUUCUUUGUUUGGGAUUGAUUGUGUGAUCCUCUCUUCAAUAAUACCAAUGUUUUUAAGCUGGAAUCAAUGUUUUAAAAGGCUAAAGGUGGUCUUGAGGUGUUUUCCUCAGAUGAGGUAAGGAGUAAGCUUGAGGCAAGACAAGGCGUAAGCCUCAAUUUAAAUAAAUAAAUAAUAAUAAUAAUAAAAUAAAAAAUAGAAAAAUAGAAAAAUAUGAAUAAAUCCACAAGAAAAUUGAAAAAUAAAAGCGUAUAAGCUUCAUAAUAAGAAAAGUAAUUAUUCGUUAUCGUUAAAAUUUUCUAAUUUAGAUCAAUUUCUCUCUUCUAAAAAUUUAGUGUUUUUUAUGGUUUCAUCAAAUAAUUUUCAAUACUAGUAGGAGCCUCCAAGGAAUGUAAUCAUUUCUAAUUGCCAUAUUAUCCUUCCCAUUACUGAAAAUAUCAUCCAUUUUUCUUGUCUAUGAAUUGCAAUGGUUUUUGUCCUUAUCUAUCAAUAAUAAAGUAAUGAUUAUAUAUGAGUUCAACCAUUAGGGUAGUCAAAAAUUUCCCAAUUUAUCUUUUUAAUAUCUCUUUUCCUCCUCCAUUUAAAGGGUUAAUUGGAAGUCAACCAAGUCUUAUUUUAUAAAAGGCUUAACCCAAGUUAGGCCCCGAUAUAAAACUCAAGAAAUCUAUACAAAAGCUCACAAAAGCAUUGAACUCAUUAAAACUCAUUGGAUACAAGGUUUUAGCCUCUUAAGCCUUUAUAGCCUUGAGGCUAUAGUGUCGAUAGAGUGAGGCUUAAGCCUCAAUUACUCUAACUGAGGCUAUAGCCUCAAAAGACUACUUCACAUAGCCUUGUCUUGGGGCACACCUCAAUAACCUUCUAAACAUUGGCUGAAAUGGACAUUUUGUCGAGAAGGGGUAAAAUAAAGUGUGGUUGGCUGCCCCUUUGUGCCUUUUAUGGACAAUUUGGUGGGAGAAAAUUUGAAACCCUAACUGAGGCUAUAGCCUCAAAAGACUACUUCACAGAGCCUUGUCUGGGGCCCGCCUCAAUAGCCUUGUAAAACAUUAGUUGAAAUCGACACUUUGCCAAGAAGAGGCAAAAUAAAGUGUGGUUGGCUGCCCCUUUGUGCCUUUUUUGGACAAUUUGGUGGGAGAAUUUGAAAGUGUGGAAAUUUUGGAAAUCACUCAAAUAAUAUUUUAUGUGUGGUUUUUUAGAUUUUGUUAGGUAUUGUAUUGGAGAGACAUCUAUGUCUAUGUUGGAUUUUGUUGAUUGGAUAGGUUCAAAGUAGGUCUGGGAGGGAUCUGUGCUUUUUUCUAUCUUUUUCUUGGUGCCCUUUGUAUAGCCCCUGCAUACUCUGGUGUACCCUUGUUGUAGCUCUUUUUGUAGCUUCUCUUUUUAUACAUCAUAUAUAUGCCUUGUGUUUGCAAAAAAAUGGAUAGUUGAUCGCUUGUUCAUGACCUAGAUGGAGAGGAAUGGCAAAAAGGGAUCUGUAAGGCCAACUUAUGUAAUAGGAUAAGGCUCUGUUGAACUGAGUUGCAGAUGUAGAAUUCUUCACUUCCAAAGUUUAGUUACAUUUAAUUACAAAGUCUUCUACUUUUCUCAUGCAUCUUUCAUAUUUAUGAUUCUUUAGAUUUUUAUGUUUGCAAUAUUAUUGGGAUUUGUUUACUUAUCGGCUGGUAGGACCAUAAAUGUUUCCUGGUAGAUUUUUUUUUUUUCCUAUCGUCAUUUUCAGUACUAAUAUUAUGUAUUUUUUUUCUGCUUUUAAUGUUUCAGAAUCAAGUGAAGUGCACUCUGAAGAGAACAAAAUUUGUGAGGAGAAGAACAAGAAAAGAAGGCUUAAGACACCAUCCCAGGUUCAGGCUCUAGAGAAAUUUUAUAAUGGUAUGAAUUUUCUGUUCACUUGCCUUGUUGUAUAAUGCAUUCUUAAAUAGCUUACAAUUUUUUUUUCCUUUUUCCUUUUUUUCUUUAUUUUAUUUUGUUUUAUAUUUUUACUUUUCCCAGAACACAAAUAUCCCACAGAGUCCAUGAAAUCAGAACUUGCAGAAGAGAUAGGAUUAACAGAAAAGCAAAUUUCUGGAUGGUUUUGCCACAGAAGGUUGAAGGACAAAAAGCUAUUGGAAGAUGAAGCAGGUGCAAAUGGAAGGCAAGAUCGUUCAAGUGGUGUUAUACAGGAUCGUGGCAGUGGAUAUAGACAGGAUUCAUGUGGCAGCACCAAGCACGGGGAUUAUAGGCAUAUUGAUCCUAGGGAAGUUGAAAGUCGAAGGUUCUAUGGGCAAGAAUUUUCAGCUGGAGACCUUAAUUAUGAGCACAGGAGUCAUUAUACUGGAAAUUUUAGUGGCAGGGGUGACACAUCAUCAGAAAGUAGCUCAGAUUUACAAGAUAGGUUUUUUCCUCAGAAUGAAGAUCCUUUUGAUGUUGAAACUUCAAAACUUCCAACAAGGAGUGGAAUUGUCAUGCCAAUAAAUACCAAAGGUACCCAAAACAGGGGAUUUGUUCGGCCAUCAGGAUAUUUGAAAGUGAAGGGUGAAAUUGAGAAUGUUGCUAUUACUGCUGUUAAGAGGCAACUAGGGAGGCAUUAUCGAGAGGAUGGUCCACCACUUGGUGUUGAAUUUCAGCCACUCCCCCCUGGUGCUUUUGAGUCAUCAAUUAGGGAUCAAGAUGAUGGUAAGUUGUGAUGCUUUUUCUGUAUGUUAAUGUUUCAUGUUACUGGUCCUGUCAUAACUUAGUGUCUGAUUACUGGAGUUUCAGUUUUGUUGCACCAAUUUUUCCAUUGCUUUCAGUAAUUUUCCUUUCCUUGAUUAUGUUAGGUAUGUUAAAUUUUCUGGAAAUGAGUUAACAACUUGUAACUCUUUUAUCUUUAGGCAUAUGAGAGUAGGAAAGCUAACCUAAGCCAAGUUGGGAUGCUGGUGGGAGGGAGCACCAAUGCUUUUGGGGGCAGAACGUAUGAAGAUAUGUUUCUAGUUUUUUAUCUUAUUAACUAUAGAGCGGGCAGAUCCCUUUGAAUGAAUUAUGGCAUUGAAGAAAAGGGAAAAAAACCUUCGUCGUUGCAUAUAUGACUUAUUUGUCUGAAAAAGUUAUUUAUCCUCAGCAAUAGGGUAGUAUGCAAGAUGAAGGUUAAGGGAAAAAUGCUGGUGCCAAACUUGAGCAUUAUAGUUUUGUGACAAUUAGCUAAGUUGUUCUUUAUAGGAGGUAAUAGGAAUCCCAUGUCAUAUUAAACCAUAGGACCAUAUGGUUUCUUCCUUAGGGUAGAGAGAUACAGAAAACCUGAAGUUUAUCUUUAAAGUUUAACAGAGGGCCCAAGCAUGCUAUUGGAAAUAGGAUGUGCAAAGAUAUGGUUCUUGAAAUAUCCAUGUUAUUGAAGUGUCCAGUUUUAUUUAAUUUAUAGAGUGUGUAUAUGCCAUGCACUUGUGACGUGGUUAUUAGAGUUUAAAUAACGUAGACCAUGGGAAAAGGGAAAGCAAAUCCUAAAGUGGGAUUGUGACUAUUCAAAAAAGAGUCAGUGGUAUAGUUUUAUCUUAUGAACAUUGUCUUACUAGAUAAGAUGUCUUUUCUAGGAAGUAAAAAGGGAUUUUUCAUCAUGUCUUAACUGUAUAAUCCAUAGUUCCUCUGGCAGAGGAGCAUAAAUACUGACAGCUUGAAAUCUAGGUUAUUGCAUCUACAGUUCAAAAUUUACAUUUAAAUUCAAGUAAACAAAUGUGUCAUGGUUACAUAAGUGAUUAUUGGAUUCAUUCUUGGAUAAGUGAUUAAUUGGAAACGAGUGAAAUAAUAUGUUACAUGAGUGUCUUGUGGGAGGUUCUAGGUUCAAGAAAAUGUGAUCUACAAAAAAAAAAAAAAAAAAAAAAUGAAAGAAAGAAAGGAAUUAGUCAUGAGUUUGAAUGGGAAGAUCUGAUAUGAGGGUGUGGGUGGUGACUUCAAUGUUAUAAGGAGAAGUUCAGAAAAACUGGGUGGAUCUAGAUUCACUUCUAGCAUGAGGGACUUUGAUGGCUUUAUAAGAGAAAGUGAAUUACAUGAUCCCCCAUUACGAAAUGCCUCUUUUACUUGGUCAAAUAUGCAAGAGUCACCGGUGUGUAAGAGAUUGGAUCGGUUUCUCUAUUCAAAUGAGUGGGAGUUCUCAUUUCCUCAAAGCCUUCAAGAAGUUCUCCCUAGAUGGACAUCAGAUCAUUGGCCGAUUGUAUUGGAUACCAAUCCUUUCAAGUGGGGUCCUACACCUUUUAGGUUUGAGAAUAUGUGGUUGCAACAUCAUAGUUUCAAUGAGAGCUUUAGCAGUUGGUGGAGAGAAUUUAAAGGAAAUGGUUGGGAAGGUCACAAGUUCAUGAGGAAGCUACAAUUUGUUAAGGCAAAAUUGAAAGAUUGGAAUAAGAAUACUUUUGGAAUGCUUAAGGAAAGGAAGAAAACCAUAUUGGAUGAAAUAGCUAUCAUUGGUGCCAAUGAACAAGAAGGGGCUCUCUCUUCUAAUCUAGCUGUUCAAAGAGCUGUAAGAAAAGGGGAGCUAGAGGAAAUAAUAAUGAGGGAAGAAAUUCAUUGGAGACAAAAAGCCAAGGUAAAAUGGGUUAAAGACGGGGACUGCAACUCAAAGCUGUUCCACAAAGUGGCUAACGGGAGACGAAACAGGAAUUUCAUCAAAUUAUUAGAGAAUGAAAGGGGUUUGGUGUUGGACAAUUCCGAGAGCAUCACAGAGGAGAUAUUACUUUAUUUCAAAAAACUAUACUCGAGUCCUCCAAGUGAGUCGUGGAGUGUAGAAGGUAUCGAUUGGUCCCCUAUAUUAGAAGAGAGUGCCUCUAGGCUGGAUUCCCCUUUCUCCGAAGUAGAGAUCUAUAAUGCCAUCUUUCAGUUAGAUAGGGAUAAGGCACCGGGGCCUGAUGGUUUCACCAUAGCAGUGUUUCAGGAUUGUUGGGAUGUGAUCAAGGAUGACUUAGUGAGGGUGUUUGCAGAGUUUCACAAUAGCGGGAUUAUUAAUCAAA
rnacentral:lncRNA from 1 species